rnacentral:lncRNA from 1 species
GUGGUGGUGGUUGCGGUUGUUGUUGUUGUGGUUCUGGUCGUUGGUUCAGGUUUAGACGAACGCUACUUCUUCUAGGCAUUUUGUUUAGUUCCUACACAUUUUAGAUCACCAAGUGUUUAGUCUAUCAAAUAUUACUCCCAAUUUAAAUAGUUCAUAUGAUCUGAUCAUAAUAAAAUAUAGUUGUACUCCUACACCUAGUUAUGAUAAGAUCUAUGCACAUAUGAACUUUAGUUGGAAUAUCUGAUCUAAAUCCUUGAGAUCAAAAACAUUUCGGGUAUUUAGGUGUAUUCUCAUCGCGGGUCUGAGUCUUCAUAUAUGACUCUAUAUUUAUUAUUUGCUAUAUUCAUGCUCUAUUAAUUAUUGUCCGUUACUUCAGGUCUAGCUGAUAAGGCACCGGCCAGUCAGGACAGUCGAAGGGCAUGAUCAUUUUAGCAUAUAGUCAUUCUGAAAUCCGGAAACCCAAAUCGACAUAUAGUCCUUCAGUAGAAUAUUUAAUAAUACUUUAUAUUGUAGGCUAAGCGAUAUACAUAAACCUAACAGAGUAAGCCCUAAACUAUAGUCGUGUUUUCCUAACAAAGUACUAAUUCACUAUAGUUAAUAGCUUUGAUACCAAUCUGUCACACACCGGCCGUCGGCGAAAACACCGGACAGUGUAACGUCAUUUCUCGUAUCAUAGUUAUCAACUUCCUGAAAACACAUGCAUUUUAAAAUACGUCAACAUAAAGUUGGUGAGUCCACAGGUUUUGACUCCAUAUAAAAAUAAUACAUUUUCCAAGUUUAAAAGUAUAGUUUUGAAAGUAUCAUUUUGACUCUCCAACGUUUAGCAUAUAUAUCCUAGGUAUAAAAGUUUACUUACCAAAUAAGUAGUUUACCUAUAAGUCUCAUAUACUAUGAAUAUAAGUAUUUGUAAUUCCAUACAAAAGAGAGUUGCUACGUAUAAAUCUUAUUUCACUUAUAUACGAGUAAAACCGCUACGUAUAAAUCUAUUUCAAUUAUAUACGAGUAUGUGUGUUAGGUAUAAUUAUCUACUUAAAAUACAAGUAGUAUACCUAACAGUUUCUUGUACCUAGAGUAUAAGUGUUUGGGAAACUUAUACUUAACAUUAAUACUUGUAUAACGACAAAGUAUAAUGCUUCUAACAAUUUGCUACCAUGAGUCCGUAACCGCGGCUAUAUGACUAGUUUCAAACCACUGCUUGAUGCUACAAGUUUUGCAUCUUGAUAAAAGUUCCACACGCUUCAUCAACAUCGGAACAAUAAGCAAAUAAAAGAACAGUUCGUCACUCGCACACGAUUUUGUUGUAGCUAGCAACCACGAGUGGGGUUGUCAACCCGUAUCUUAUUCAUACACGAAUUCCUCGCUCACACGGGAUUAACAGUUAUAGGUCAGAGGAUUUUCCCUAAGAUUUCCAAUCUUAGUUGAUGAAUACAAUAGCUCAUGUAGACUUGUCGAGUUCCGUUAGUUCUAGUAGUAAAAUCAUAUUCGUGUCUAAAACCCUAAGUUAUUAGACUAUGCUUUUAAUAUUACUCCUAAUAUUUAUAAUACUUAGGUAGUACAACAGCUAUAAUUAGAAUUAAAACCAGGUUUUAUCUAGACAUAAACCAAUAACAACAACAUAUAAAAUACCUCGUUUUAUCUUGACAUAAAACCAAUAAUAACAACAUACAUAUCAAUUAACAUAUAGAACUUCCGAGUAUAACUCCAAAACUAUAUCGCGCACAACAUAUAUAUAGAAUCAUAAGUAUAACUCAAGAUCUACAUUAGUAUACUACUAUAACAAUAACAUCCUAACAACUUUACGAUAGUUGUAUACUUUCAAAUUCGAAAUAACUAUAUCCCGGUUAUUAUAACUAUCUACGUUGAUACUAAUAUACUAUCAUAUAGACAUAAUAAUAACGUAUAUAUAAUAUUUAGCAUGCGUUUUCCCUUGAACUAUUAGAAAGUGGAGCCGUGAAACUCACCUUAGUAGCGUGAUUUUUUUGUAAUCUAAGCAGAAACGGUCAGCGUACAAGGUCGUCGGGGCUCGGGAUGCAAGAGGGCUUCAGCAAAGGAGAGAGGAGAAAGGGAAAUGGUGUAAGAAAGUGUCAAGUUCAGACCUGCUAUUUAUAGGAAGGAUUUUGGACCCUCGCGGCAUGAAAAACUCAUUAUUCACGUCGUGACUUUCGAGCUUAUCUCUUCGUAGACUUGCCAUCCGUCUUCUAGCUUCCGAAGGUGGCAAAAUGAGCCCUCGCGACAUAAAAAAUGCCUUGUUCACGUCGUGAGUUUGGAUCUUAUCCCCUCGCAGACUCGUCACACCUUCUAGAUCCGAAAUAUGGCAGUUUGACUCCUCACAUCGUGAGUUUUUAUGCUCAUGUCGUGCGUUCAGUCAAAUUAGGGUUUCUGACAGCGACAUCUUCGGAAAGCCAUAACUUUUGCAUACGAACUCCGUUUUUUACGUUCUUUAUAUGCACGCAUAGGUAUUUCUGAGUACUACAACUCUCUAAUAGAUUAUAAUAGCUAAAUCUAAGCCUAUUUUAAAUUCCUCUUGUUAUAAAGAUUUUGUAGUGUUCGGUUUAUCAUAACUUCUUCGCGCGAAGCCAGAUUUCGACGUUCUCUACCUUUUUGGAAUCGUAUGGACGUAUACUUUGAUUUAUACUAUAAAGUAUGUAUGAAAGUUCAUAUUUAUAUUUGCAUUAUCAUGAAAUACAUAGUAAGUUUACUACAUUACUAGUUUUAACAAAAUCACAUUUAGAUGAUUGGUAUAAUCACAUGUGAUUGUUAUUGACCUACUUUUGACUAGUGUUACAUCUAUGUUUAUGUUUAUAAAAAAAAAUUGAAUAAAAACCCAACAAUAAAGCCUCCACUUCAUUAUUAAUAACAUCAGCCUAAUUAGAUUCAUAUGAUGCUUCAAAAUAAGAACGUGGUUCAAUAGUUUUAUUCAAGUUGGAAACAAAAUAAGAAUUUUCAGAUGAAAAAUGAGAGUAAUUUAUAGACUUUUCAAUAACAUACUUGUGUUUUCCUUUAACAAUAUAAUCAGAGAAGUUUCAAAGGAACCUAGACUCUCUACUAGACCAUCUAAAACAUGUAGGAUUACUACUAGAUAGUUCACUACCAAAUGGUUCAUAGUCAAAAUGACCAGUUUCCUCAUAAGAACUGGAUGGCUCAGGUAUAGCCUCCAAAAAAUGAGGACUAACUACCUCGCCACCCUAGCAAUUGGGUUCAACAGGCUCAGAAGAAAUAGUCGCACUUGUACCUUCAUAUUGAUUUCUAAAAGCCGACUCAUCAGGUGCAAUCAUAUCAGCUAUAGAAGUUGUUUUAAAAGAAUCAUCAUGGGAAACUAAGUGCCUAGAAUUCAACUCAUCAAUCAUAUCAAAAAAUUAGAAUUUUGAUUUAUCCCACCAAUAUUUUUUUCAUCUUGAAUGGAAAACAUCUUCAUAAAAUUUUACAUCACUAGAAAAAAAAUAUUGUCAAGACUAAAAAGCUUAUAUCGUUUUUUUUUCAUUUGGGUAACCAACUAAAAAAUAUAUUUCAAACCUUCCGGCCAAUUUAUUAAAAAUGUCUACUCUAACAAGAAAACAUAAGCAACCAAAAACCCUUAAGUUAUCAAAAUUUGGAAUCUUUUUGAAAAUCAUCUCAAAAGGUGAUUUACCACUUAAAAUAAAGGUUGAAGCCUAUUAAUAAAAGAAGUUACAGUAAGAACAUCUUUACCCAAAAUUUAAGUGGGAGACGAGAUUAGAAAAGUAAAGAUCUACGAACAUUAAGAACAUGUCUAUGCAUUCUCUCCACAACACAAUUUUGUUGUGGAGUAUAAGAGCAAGAGGUUUGAUGAACAAUAACAUUAUUUAAAAAAACAAAUUAAAUUCAUUAUUUACAAAUUUUGUCCCAUUGUCAGACCUAAAAGUUUUGAUUUUCCCAUUAAAAUGUUUUUUAACAGAUUAAAGAAAGCACAAACCCAAUAAAAAACUUCAGUUUUAGACUUCAUUAAGUAAACCCAGGCACCUCUUAUGAAAUCAUCCACAAUAGUCAAAAAGAACUUAAAAUCAUCUGAAUUAACAACCCUAUAUGGACCCCAAACAUCUAGAUGAACUAAUUCACCUAGUUUAGUUGUUUUAUGCUCAUUAAAUUGAAAAUAAUUACGAGACUGUUUAGCAUCAUGACAAACAUCAAAAGGAGGAAGACUCUCGGACCCUAAGUUAAGGGAACCUUUAAGAACAUUAAGAGAUUGAUCAAUAGGAUGACCUAAUACAUUGUACCAAGUUAACUUGGAAACAUAACAUUGAGUAGUUUUAGUAAAGUCAAGGUUAUUACCUAAAGCAAGGGAGCUAUCAAGAUAAUAGAGCCCUCCAGCUUCAUUACCAGUCACCAUGGACUAUGAAUUUAGAAGAAGACAUUUAGACUCAUUAAAAGUAACCUUAUAUUUAUUAUCUUUACAAAAUUUAUGAACAGAUAACAAAUUCACAUUAAAAUCAGGAAUCACAAAGACAUAAAAUAGGGUUACAGAUUCAGACAAAUGCAUAUUACCAAUUUUAUUUAUCGUAGAUGAAGACCCAUUAGGAUGAUCAACUCUAAAAUCAAGUUUUGAAACAUCAAGUAUAUUUUAUAAAAAGCAUUCAAUAUGAGUCAUAUGUUGGCUAGAACCUGAAUCUAUAUCCCACUUUUUAUUAGUUACAACAGAAUUACAAGAAAUACCUACAUUUUAGCAGAAACUUAUAUGCUUUGUUGUUUCUCAUUGAUAAGACGCAAAAAUUUAGAAUAGUGAUCAACAGUCAAGAAAAACUUAUCAAAACCAUAAUUAGUCAGAGAAUUAUUACUGGAUUGAAUACCAUUUGCAGACUGAUCAGUCCGACUAUUCAAUACAGAAACAUUUCCAGACACAGGCUUAUUAAAAACUUGAUUGUCAUUAUUUCUAAAUUUAAAAUCUUUUGGAAAGCCAAUAAGUUUGUGACAUCUUUCAAUAGUGUGACCUUUAAAACCAUACUUUUUACAUUGUAAAUUUUGAUUUCCAUAAAGUUUACUAUUACUAUUAUACUUUUAUCAAAAAACUUUCCAGCAAAAGCAAAAGCUUGAAUUUUAAAAGAACAACUAGAGAUAGAACCUCCUUUUUGGUGAGAUUCUUCUAUAGAAACAAUUAAAAAAAUCAUAUUUAACAUCUGGAAGAGGUUCCAUGAGUAAAAUAUGAAUUUUAACUUGACUAAAUGUGUCAUCUAGACAAGUAAGAAAUUGCAUUAACUUCAUUAGGUUUGACUUAUUAUUAAAUUGGGCAAAUGCAUCACAAGUACACUCAACAACCUUAGUUAAACCAUCAAACUACUUCCAAAGAACAUCAAGUUUACUAUAAUAUUCAGACACAUAUAAACCAUUUUGAGACAAAGAAUUGAUCUUCUUAUGAAGAUUAAAAACAACAAACCCAUCAGCCUUAUGCUAUGUUUCAAAUAGUUCAGUCCAGAUAACAGAGGCAGUUUCAGAACAAGCAUGACUAGCAUAAAGUGAUUCAAAAAUAGAACCUAAGAGCCAAGAACAUAAAACAUCAUUAACCUUUUCCCAUUUUCGACUUUUAAUUUCAUCAUUAGUAGGUUCAGCAAAAGAUUUAUCAACAAAGCCUAACUUUUUCCAACCUUUUAAAGCUCUAAUCAUAGAGCUUCUCCAUAUUCUAAAAUUUUCAGGACAGGUUAAUUUGAUACUAAUAAUAGAAAUAGUGCCAUUAUCUAACGGAUGUAAGAAGAAAGGAUCAUCAAAGUCAUAAUGUUCAGCAACAUUCUUUGUACCAUAACCCCCUCGGGGUAUAUCACCAGUCAUGAUGAACACAUAGGAAGAAUGACCAAAAUAUCAUAUAAAAUCAGUCUUGAGUCCUACGCAGCCUAUCAAGACUACCAACAAUCAUAGUCACUCAUGGACCAUAGCAAGUAUAGUAAAUAUAGAGGGCCUCAAAACUAGUUUAUUGACAUUUAGGAACUUGAUUGUUUAAAAAAACACAAAUGAAAAUAGCAAACAACUAGUAUUCAAAACUAGGUCACCCCAACCUAGAUCUAGACAACAAAUAAUCCCAAGAACCUGAACAUAAAAGUAACCAAAAGACUUAUAGUGGUGUUUUAUGUACGUAAAAAUAAUUAGUAAGAAGCAAGGAUGAUUACUAGCGGCAUUCAAAUGCCAGAAACCACCUGAACCACUCAAAAUGCACCGUUUGCGCCCCUAGAGGUUGACCAUGUGCUUAACGUUUGUCGUUAGAAAUAACGAGAUGUUAGAUUUAAUUUUACUCUCAAGUCGACGUUUACACUCAAAAAGACGACGAUAUCCGAGAUAAAGUUCAAAGAACACCGCAAUCUGAGGGUAACACCUCAGAUGAAAAGCAGAUCAUAGAUCUCGAUCCACAAAAACACAACAUAGAAACUGAUCAAGCAAAAGAACACAUGGAUCGACAACGAGAAACCCAAUCAGAACACUGAACGAGAAACAGGCUCAAUCUACAAACAAGAAACCCAAGAUCGAUAGAAAACCCUAACUCGGUUUAAACAAUAGAUGCACCAAAAAACAACGCAAGCCUAAACCCGCUCUGAUAACAUGUCAAAAUUACUCAAACAAACAACACCCAAAAUACAAAACAUCAACAAUUCUUAAUUUAUUGCGAAUCAGUUAGUUUGAACAAAUACUUACAGUGGAAAAACUCACUACAAUAACACUCAAACACUCAAAUGUUCACAGGAAAAGAAUUAAAGAAAAAAAUGAAGAACAUAUACAAACUUGUAACAUCCCAAAACUAGUAGUAAAAUUUUUAAUUUUUCAAACACCCAAAAAUAUAACCAAUUGUUCCAAGCCAAUCAUAGUAUAAAUAAUCUCAACAUUAGAGUGAAGCCAAAUAACAAUGCGGAAUAAAAUCAAGGGUAUGUUGUACGAUCAAGUUGUGCCCUUCCCUUUUGUAACAUCCCAAAAUACAAAGGUAAAAAUUUCAUUUUUAAAACAACAAAAUUACACAUUUAUCAUUUACUCAAAUCCUUAAAGGUAUUUUAUAAUAAAAACAGUUAUAAGAGUACAAUCUCAAAAUCUCAAGGUUGUGGAAAAUAUAGGUGUAUGGGUUGCGAUCAAGUCGGGCCCUUCCCUUUCGAACAAGAAGUACCUGAAACCAUAAAAAACUCUAAGCACAAAGCUUAGUGAGUUCCCUAAACUACCCCAUAUCAUACAUAGUAAAUCACAUACUAGGCCCCCACCCGGUAUUGAGUCCCACUCGGCUUCGGGCCCCGACUGACAUCGAGACCCGCUCGGUAUACAGAUAUGUUAUUCUUAAUCCCCUCCUGACACGGUCCCCGCCCACUAUACACACAGACAUAUAUCACAUAAUCAUACUAACACAUACAAUGAUCAUAAACAAUAGCAUACGAUACAGUCAUCGAGCCUCGCCCGGCAUCGAGCCUCGCCUGGUAUACAUAGCAGCGCAUAUCACAUGCAAGAGUCACAUAGACUCCUGGCAUCCUAACAUAAAUAAAACAAAGUCCAAAAUUGGUUCCUUAGACCUGCUAAACCCAGUGAGGGAACUCACCUCAGACAGCUAAAACCCACGUAUAAAACUUUGACUUCAGAUCCGCAAAAAUCUCUACGCUAUCAAAUACCAAAUUACCACAAAUUAAUAAUUAAUUCUUGUCUCACACUAAGAGUCCAAAUUAGAGUAAAAGACCUUUUUACCAUUCCUCUAACUUGGCCCAAGGCUAAGGCCCAAAUAUGGCCCAAUUUUCCAAAUUGGGCCCAAUCCCUUUCAUGGGUCUUCUUUCAAGAAAAUCCAAACAAAACUCAACAACCUAACCAAUAAUUCUAAUGAUGCAAAAUGGACCAAGACGAUCAAGCCAGCUCAAACCCAAAACCGAAGCCCAAAUAAAUCUAACCUAUUGAGUACGCAGGCGUACUCAGUCUGUACACUCAACGUACUGUAUAAACGGCUUGUACGUGUAGCUUACAAACUUGUGCGCUCUGCGUACUCACCAACAUCCAACUUUUCCAUUUAAGCUCUUAACCUAUUAAUACUUUUAUCCAAACUUAUAUCUGACUUUCCUAAGGUAUUUAAUCACAUAAAGUUGUCAACUUUAUGUGCAGGCAUGGCUUAAUGGGGCUCUAGAGCUCAAAGGAGCUUAAUAAACAACUUAAUACAUGCAUGAGACCAAAACCACAAUAAAGUUUGCACCUUUAUGCCCAAGGAUCCCUUAAUAUGUCUAGAUCUAUAAGGCUAAGCUCCAAAAAGGCCUUAACUCCCAAUCACCAACCAAAAGGACCAAAAAUGACCAAAACAUGCCAAGGAGUAGAUCUAUGAAAUGAAAUAGCUACGUUUGAACUUUAUACCUCACAAGCCACCAAAAGAAGAUGAUAAAGUUGGAUCUCAAAGACCUCCUCCAAGGAAUGAGUCUUCAAGCUUCUUAUUAUCUUACACAAACACUCUUCCAAGCUCCAAAACUCACUCAAGGCACUAUAGGGCUUCAAUAUGGGCUAAAGGGGAUGGAGGCUGAUCUAAAAUGUCCAGAGGAAGGAUAUAAUGUUACUUAUAUAAGGGUAAAACCUCUAUAAUUCGGGUUUGAUGCAGAAGGGAGUAGGCCUUGCGUACCGCUUAGUACACUUGGUGUACUCAAGGAGAACCCACGACAAAGCCAUUCAGUACGCCCAGCGUACAUGUAUAGUUCACCCCGCAUACUAGAUGAUCCUCCACAACACUUAUCCUCAUUUAGCCUUAACUCCUUCAUUCUAAAUCCAUUUCAGGCGUUCCUUAUAUCUAUGCAAAGGUAACGAGAAACCCUACACUUCUAUCAACUCUCCCUUACCUUAAAACUUGCCGGGCAAAACUCAAAAUUCAGAAAGGACCGAAUUAUCAAGUUACGAUUAUACCCUUGGUCUCCGAAACACAAACUCUCAGAUUACUUAAUCUAUAACUCCCACAUCCAAAAAGGGCCAAUACCCUCCUUCCCAAGGACCUAAGCCUUAUAAUAAUUGGGCCACAACCCCGGAUAAUGAAAUCAUUUGAAACCGAGUGUUACACCUUUGGAACUAGAAGUACCUUAAAAUGUAUAAACCACAAACCAUAAGCACAAAGCUUAAUAAGUUCCCCCAAAAUACCACAUAUCAUACAUAUCAACGGGCCCAGUCCAUAAUAAUAGGCCCAACCUAUCAUACCAACGUACCCAACCCUGUAUACAUACGGGCCUAGUCCAACAUAUAUAUGGUCCCAACCCAGCAUACAUAUAGGCCCAAUCCAACAUACAUAUAGGCCCAGCCUAACAUAUCAAUGCAAGAGUCAUAUGGCUCAUGAAAUCAGCUAAACCACAGCCCAAUUCCAUGCAACUUGUGCUACAACACAACUAACAAAACAUACAAGGUUCAACCAUAGCCUAUACCUAAAUCCAUAAAAUUGACCAAAAUUCAACCAUGCCAAAAAGUCAAUGGUCAAAGUCAAAGUCAACAACCAACAAUACCAACAGUUGACCCUCACGUCGCGAACAGCCCUUGUUCACGUCGUGAGAUUGCACUCAGCCCAAUUCCUAUUUGGUCUCGCACCAACUCAACCAACUUUUUCACAGACAACUCACUCAAUAUGCAUCAUGACCUAAACCCUCCUUGGUCAUAUCAUGAACACAACAGAAUAAUAUAAUCGAGGAAUCCACCCUUGUCACAUCGCAACACCCUCUAUGUCACAUCGUGACCAUAGUUUGAGGCAAAAUCUUAGUGUCUUGGGUCCUUAAUCUAUUAAGUCUUGAACUCCAACUUUCCAGAAAGCUUUAAAGGACUCUAGAGGUUCAUAAAAAUGGAAAAAAAAUUUGGACAUGCAUGCUCCUUGCAUGUCCUCUACCCAAUCUAGGACAAAAGGAAAGAAAAUGACCUAACACUCAUGCAAGAUUCACAAUCCACAACCAAUCCUUAGAUCCAUAAGAUAUGAUGUUCUAAGGACUCUGGAGGACCAUAAAGUUGCCAAACUUAUUCCAUCUAUUCACUCAAAUCAAAACCAUGAACCAAAAGGGACUAAAACAACUUAGAUCUAAUAGAAUAGACCAUAAAGGUAGAAGCUUGAAUAUUUAGAAAUGGUCGAGAAGGUGAUAUCAAAGAUGAGAAAGUGUUUCUUGCUUGAUCCUUGCACCAAUUAUCCUUCAACUUCCUUCAAAGAGCACCCAAAUCACCAAAAUAAGCCAAAACCACCAAGAUGGAUUAUGGUUAGGGUUUAUGAGGUUUGAGAGAGAUGGAGGCUGAGAAAUGAACCCUAAAUCCAAGUGUAGGGUGCUUAAAUACGAAGGAAAUCCUAAAAGAUCAUGGACUUAGGUUGCAGCCCUUGUCACGUCAUGACUAGAUACAUGUCACGUCAUGACCAUUCUUCAAAUACGUAUUCUACAUUUUCUAGGUCACUUUGUGACCUCCCCAUGGUCAUGUCGUGACACCUGAUUUUUCCUGAAAAUCAUGCAUUUGAUCCUUUAUGCCCUACUAUGAUUUAAUAUGGAAAAUGGGUGUUACAACUCUCCACCACUUAAAUUAGAUUUCAUCCUCAAAAUCAUCCCUUACAACUUACUCUGCCACAUCAACCGACCCCGACCGAACUAUCUAAAUUUCAAAUAGAACUAAGAAAUCAUCUCAUGUAGACGACCGUCUUCCAACCCUGCUAUCGAAGCCCGAUCUAAGCAGAAUUCACAUACUCUGAUGAAGAAACGAACCUUAACACAUCGCCUCAACCAAUAAAAGAAAAUCCAACUGGUCUACAUGAAAACUAAAAACCUUAUACCUUGUCUGACUUCCAGACAAACGUAACCAUUCCAAACCUCAUCCAUAAUGACUCCACUCUGCAACCCAACCAAAACAAACCCCUCCAACCUGAAUUAUCUCCCUGAUAACUAGAAAUUCAUAAUCCCUAACCAUUCACCGAUGUCAAUAACCUUGCACCCUGGAACAAAGGCGAAUCCCAACAUGAGUUUUAACCAUUCGUGCCAAACCAAUACCUAACUCACAUCCUGAUAGCCAAAAGUUCACACAUUCGAUCUUUCUGAGAUCUCCUGAUUCCAUGUUGUCCUUCAAUUAAACUGAUAUGCAUAAUCUUUGACCAUUUGCUCAAACUAGCAACCUCACACACGGUCACAUAACCAGAUUCUAACAAAUAACUGAAAAAGGCUACCCUAUACUAUCUGCCAUACGAAUCCACACAGUUGAUCACUGAGAUUCCCACUUCCGAACUAUUCUAACACCCUAACCAUGCUAGAUACUACAGGGUCCCACCCACAUGAGUCAUAUACACUUACUGAAUCACGAUACACUAUGACCCCAUUUAAUCCACUUAAACCCUAAAAUCACAGAACACACUGAUCUUGCCAUCAUUCCAUCAUUGUCUUGGCGACUUACAACAAACACUAGAUGCCUUGAGCAUAACCUCAAAAGUAUGAACGGUCCGCUCACCCAAGAUAACAUAACCAAUUGAGCCUCUUCCAUGGGUCUCACCCAAGCUAGCAUAACUAAAUGGGUCUCACACACGGGUCUCACACAAGAUAGCAUAUCCAAAAGGGCCUCGCCCUCAAUUGGGAGUUAUGCAAGUCUAACCAUUGAUGUAGGUCUAACAUCCUUCCUGCCUUAACAUGGAGCAGCUAAUGACAAUAUCGGGUCCGACUCAACCCAAACGAAGGAUCUAAUCCUCUUAUAGUCAUACAACCAUUCUUGCAACGGUCAAACUCAUCCUAGUGGAUACUAUGAGUCAGUCUGUAGUCUUUCAAUACUUCCACUAUAUCCAUGGGCCCAGCCCAUGGUCUUGCCAACUAUUCAUGAUACCGAGCCAAAAGCAACAUGAUCCAAAACCCCAACCUGUUAAACCCAAAAAGUUAUCCGGGUCGUGCUUCGAACCCCAAAGCCUUCAUCAGAAUAGAACAUGAAGAGAGAUUUUAACACAACCCUCUGCUUGAACCUAGUCAUGAAUCCAAAAUGCGCUACUAGUGAUGCUCCACACCCUCAAUAUUUUCCUUCCUGAUAAUGUGACAACCCGAAAUUUUCAUUCGGUCAAACCCUAAAAGUCAAUCACUUCAUAUUAUAAGUCAAUUUCAUUUCUAUUUUUUUUAACAAAUUUAAAGUUCGUUUGGCUAUUAUAAUAAUUAUUCUUUAAAUGAACGGGUGAAAGAAUGUAACGCCUCGAGUCUUGAAAUUUCUAAACCGCGAAUACCACGUAGCUUAGAAGUUCACGGCCAAACUUUUAUGUUUGGGCCGUAAACUACCCCAAAAAACUAUAAACUCGUGCUUAAGCAUGAGUUUACUCCCCAAAGUACCUCACUUCUCAUUUUCACCCUAAAGAGUAAACUCCAAACACUCUCAACUAUCAUCCUGGUUUUCACCUGAUUUCCCGAAAACGUGAGUAUUUCUCGACUUGAUUAGUUGAUGUAUCAUAACUACUAGUGAUUAUACAUCUUUUCAUCCAUCCAUUUUUGUGUUUUGAUUAGAUUUCCAAAACACCAAGAACACCGAUAACACAUACUAGUGUUCUUGGACUUUUAGUUCAUUUCAAGCUUCCCCAAAGUAAGUACUUCUAUCCUAGAGUCUUUUAAAGCUUGCUAUACAUCUUAAUAUCAAGGAAAUGGCCCAAGAACACCAAGAACAAGGUGUUCAUGGUUAUGAGAGGCUCACAAAACCAUAAACACCAAGUAUAGUGCCAAAGGGUGUGUAGGUGCUUCACAAUGCCUUAGGCACUUGUCCAGAUCAUUCGUUGAAGUGUUUUUCACAUAAAAGAACAAGAAAACACUCAUUUAUAUGUGUUUACGGUUUGGGGAUCUCCCAAAACCAUAAACACCCCAAAAGGUGUAUAAAUGCCCCAUAUUUAUUCCUUAUGCCUAGAAUCUAACCUAGACUAUUACCUUGAUGAGCUAAGGACUUGAAAACCCUCAAAUACCAUAAACGUUAUGAGUUUAUGGUAGUAAACUCAAAGGAAAAUGGUAAAGGGAACGUAAACUUCAUUUAGGAGCAAAAUGGUGCCCUAGUUCCUUCAUUGGUCACAUACAUCAAGUAGAAAAGCUUCUAGGGACUCUUAAAGCUUCAAACAACAAAUGGUCACAAAGAAGGUGAGCUUACAACCGUAAACCCAAGGGUUUACGACCGUAAACCCUUUUGGUUAUGACCACAAAACCGUAAACUCCCUAAUGGAGUGUUCCUUGAACCCCAAACACACUAGCCAUUCCUUACAACACUUAGAUGCAAUCCUUGAGACUUAUAACACUUGUAUAAGGUGUUUAGCAUGUCCUAGGGUGUCUUGACUUGUUUAUUUGUUGUUUAAAGACUAAUUGGAUACAUAUAUGUGAUAUUAUAUGUUAACUAGGAUCAUAGAGUGUGUUCAAGACUUCACUUGACACCUAGCAAUCCUACAUCUUCAGUUCAUCCGUACCACUCACUACAGGUGAGGUCAUACCCCUUAAUAAAUGUUUUUCAUAUUUUUAAAUGAUUUAUGGGGGGAUACAAGUUAAAUACUUAUAGUUAUUACAUCAAUCACAUGUGAUUAAUAACUACAAAACCAGUGAUUUUCUUACUGUUCAAACUGCUUAUCAAACUAUUUUGCUUCAAACUUUUUUACUUAUCAAAUACUUAUACUUAAGCUCUUUUAUACUUAUUAUCAAAUUGCAUGCCUAGAUAUGUAUAGUUAUAUAAGUAAUGUUUGAAGGACUUAGGAAGGCUAACCCACCUUAUUUCCUUUUCCCCGUUGGGAUGUGGUCUGGUAGGAUAUCGGGUAUCCGUCCGAAGAUCGUUUAACUAUUAGUUAUAUAUCAUGUGUACAUAUAUAGUCAUAAAAGGUUCUUCCAGCCAAUUCAAUACCCCUGGUUAGCAAGGGUAUACUUCCAUGUUUAUACGUACAAGUUAUAUUACUAGUAAAAUACAAUAGGCGUAGUUUAGGGUUUUACUAAUACUAAUACUAGAAAAUUGAAUCAUACAAAGAGUCAGUUCAUACAUGAGUCAUAAUACAUAGUGAUGAGAAACAAACAUAAUACAUAGUGAUGAGAAACAAACAUACAGGCUAGACAGAGGAAGAACACACAAUACAGCUAGCACAUACAUUACAUAUACAUUACAUUCAGUUAUGUGAGCCAUUAAACGGGUCAUGGCACUACCUGCCAUGACCGUUUUUGUAUCCAGAAUCUGCUUAAUUGGGGAGCGUAUGAGUUUGCGUAUAGAUCUAUACUGGAUUGGCUAUCCUACACCUUGCUGCUCGCUACAGUGGGACUUGCAAGUCUACGGGUGCCAAAUGUCAUUUCUUAUAGAAUCUUACAUCGUUGUUUUUCUAUUAAGUCGGUAGCAGGGUACAAGCCGAUCACAUGGUACUUUAAAUAACAAUUGGUUUAAGGUAGUUAGUACAACAGUAGUUACUUAAUACAACACUACAAUACUAUAAUAUUUUUCCCAUUACAUUCACUUCGUGAACAUCCACACGACGCACGGUAAUGUAAAAACUAUAUUUUUGGUUAAUGAUAGUCGGAUUUGGGAAAAUACACACUCUUACAUGAGACACACAUAGUUACUAGAUGCCUUGGCAGAAGGCUACUGUUAGUAGGAAACAUAGGGUUUUCUAGGAAUGUUCAAACAAAUACAAACUUUACAAAACUUAUACAUCACAUCUUACAAACAUCUUACCAAUGCUUUCAUUCAAACUCAGACACUAAUAUACUUAUGAUCUCACCAGCUUUAAAGCUGAUACUCGCUUUAAAAAUAACUUGUAUUCUCAGGUCACCAGUAGACAGGUACCGGAGCCAGGUUUUUGAGAAGAUGGAGCUUGUUCAAGACUCCUCUAUUAUUUUGAUGUACUUUUUGGUGUCUAUUUAACUUAACAGAACACACUUGUAUGAAAUUAUAUUAUUAAUGCAAUGGAUGAUGUUGUUGCUUGUUUACUACUUUGCAUUGUUGCGAUAUUAUACAUGACGUCCUCUACCCCCGAACGAUUCCGCCGUUUAGGUUUUGGGGUGUGACAGAUUGGUAUCAGAGCAUUGUUUAUAGUGAAUUGAGUAUAUCAACCCAUGAAAGAUAUACGAACUAUAAACACAAGAGGGAUUAAAUUACUCUGAUAAAGAGUAUGUACUUUUAAAUAAUAAAAUAUUUAACUAAGUAUACAUACCUGCAUUCAUACAAAAAUCAGUGUCACUAGGACAGAACAAAAGUAUUACGAUUGUUGGACAACACAAGUAGACUUAGAGACAUAUGGUCAACCCUGGGAAGAUGUAGCCUGAUCAACUACAUUAUCCGAGGAGUGACUAGCAUGUGCCUAAGGAUGGUUGUGAGGUUGCAACAAGUCAAAAAAAAACUUACCAACAAUACCACAAUAAGAAUAGUAGAACAUAACAUUAAAAUUAAAAUACUAUAGGAGUAUUUUGUGUUACUAUAAUUACUUAUCUGAGAACUAAAUGUCUUUAUUGGUAUACCCUAGACAAGUAUUGGAGUAACUGAUAAAGAUCACCAUAUAAUUAUCUAGUUAACUCGUCUAUUAAUUAUUUCCUUACCCCCUUUUCUCGCAUAGAUAUCAUGGCUGGAUUUCAUCAUCAUGACGACCCGUACUUUCCACCCAACGGAAAUGCUGGAUGGAUUGAAGCAGAGUCCGAUGAUGAGCAUCAAAUCCCUUUGGAUGAUCAUCAAGCUCAAGGAUUCUCGGAUGAAUCUGACUUCGAGCCCGAAGUCAACAACCUACCUCAAGUAGGUCAAGCCCCGAAUAACAACCCCUGACCCAUAUUUCAAGGACCCACACCUCUGUGGGCAACAAACUUGAAUACAUGGAGCUAUGAACAGGGUCAACCCAUUCCCUACAAUGGAGACAGAAGUUUCUACAACCUCACUGAUGGAGGUUUUGCUGACAAAGUCUUACCCAUCAUGGUUCGUAGGAUUUCUCGGAACACGAUAUUGGGUCAAUCAUCUAUCAAUCGAGUCUUAGAGAUUGACACCAACACUGGUGUUGACACUGUCCGCAUUCGCCAACUAGAGUCUGCUCAUGAAAGGGCUCUGGUUCACAAUGCAACUCUUCAGAGGGAACUCACUGAAACGCGAGCUGAAGUCAGAGAACUGCAAGCUCAACAAGCAAGGGCUAAUAGGCGCAUGAGGGACAUAGAACGUCUUCUGUCGGGAUCAAGAACUCACUCUGGUAGUUCUCGUCGCCGAUAGAUUCUCACAAACUCCUCUCUUUUGGAUAUAACCUAGUUAUGUAAAACUAUGGUCUAAUUCUCUAUCGUUGUAAAUCGUAGGCGUGUUAGGUCUUGGUUAGGUUGUAAUUCUGUCAAAAUUUUCCCAUUUUGGUUGAUGUAAGGCCUAUUUCUAUUGGUUGUUUUCCCGAACUUGUUACAUCUGUAAUUCCCGUAAUAUCGACAGGCACCUAAUCUUAUGGGAAUUAUUAUCCAAAUGUGAACAUCUUUUAGUUCUGGAUUUCCAUUCAAUCGUAUCGUUUGGGCUAUGAAGAGUUAGUCCAUGAGUCAUUCUCAUCGAUUCUUCCAUUGAAAUCUUAUCCAUGUUUCAUCUUCAUAAACUAUAGAUCAAAGAUGCCGCCUCACAGAAAUCCAAGGAGAAACCUCAAUAACAAAACACCACCUCCUCCACCUCCUCAACCACCUACUCCUCAGUUUGACACGACAGCCUUAAAUGUUGCUCUAGUCGCAGCUGUGGCUACAGCCAUGGCUCAAUAUCAUUCAUCUGGUUCACUGGAAGAGGAACCCCUGUUCAGUCUAUUCAGGUUGAAGCUCCUGUGCGCUCGAGAGAGUGCUCCUACAAGGACUUCACCAACUACAAUCCAUUGUCCUUCAAAGGGACUAGUGGAUUCAUUUCCCUCUCGUAAUGGUUUGAGAAAACCAAAUCGGUUUUCGAAAUCUGCUCCUGUUCAGAGGAGAGCAAGGUUAAGUUCGUUGCUUGCACCUUUGAAACCAAAGCCCUAACAUGGUGGAAUAGCCAUGUUAAGUCGCUAUCUCUCAUAGUGGCUAAUGCUAUAGGUUGGGAUAUUUUGAAAGACCUCAUGAUUGAGGAGUAUUGCCCGAGGGGCGAGAUCCAAAAGCUGGAAGAAGAACUGUGGAGCCUAACCAUGAAGGGCUCCAACGUAACCGCUUAUACCACCAGAUUCUACGAGCUGGUGGCCCUCUGUCCCAACAUGGUUCAUACAGAUGGAAAGAAGAUUAAGAGAUACAUAUGGGGGCUGGUGCCACCGUACCUGGGAAAUGUAUUGGCAUCACACCCCACUACAUUUGAUAGUGUCAAGCGAUUGGCACAGCGGCUCAUAGACUAUGGGGUUCGUACCCCGGCCGCAACAACAACUACCCUGGCCAUCUCAGAACCUGCAAGAACCGCUGACUCCAAGCGGAAGUUUUGGGAUGACAAGAAGAAAGCUAAGACUGCCAAAAAGCAAUAGGUCAUGGCAGUACAUGCUGCGAUAGCACCUGCCGCUGCUGCUCCGGUAAAGCAGUACGCUGGAAGUUUGCCUAAGUGCAACAAAUGAAACUUCCAUAACGUCGGUGCCUGUCGGGAAAUGCAGUGUAUGAACUGCAAUAGGAAGGGGCACACUGCCCGUUUCUGUAAAGCUCCAGCGAAGCCAAUCAACCAAGUCCCCGGUGCUGGAGUGGACCAAGCUUGCUACGGAUGUGGCGAGGUAGGCUCUACAAAAGGAACUUCCCGAAGGCAUGGAUUGUCGGUGGAGUGGCAAGAGUCCUGGCUAUAGGCCAUGAGGAAGCGGUAGUCGACCCCACAGUGGUCACGGGUACGUUCCUCCUAGAUAACGCUUAUGCAUGCAUUCUAUUUGAUUGUCACAACUAGAAAUUUUGUGUCAUGUAAUCUAUACACUCAAGUUAAAUGUAGAAUCAAAAACUCAAAGAGCAUGUAUGAUGCUUACUCUAUGACAUCUAAUUUUCAAACAAGUGCACCAUACAAGUGCUACAAAUAGUCAUCAAGCAAUUGGAAACCCUAGAAGUUCUUGUUAGGUCCAUUUUGGGACUAGGACUUCCUUAUUGGACUCAUUGGGCCAAUAAGCCUCCAAUUUGACUAUCAUGGGAUUAGAACCUUUAAAUGGGCUCUAAUUGGACCCACAUCCAUUUAUUUCAACAUUUUGGGCCAUAUUGGGCCUAGAAGGAAAUAAAUUAAAAACUUUGAACAAUGAUUAACCUAAACUAUCCCUACAAAGUGUAAAAAUCAUAUUAUAUUUUUUUUGGUCAAAAAUCAUCCAACUUAACUUCUAUAUGGGCUUAGGGGAAAUAAAGCCCAAAAAAACCUUUUUCCCUUCCAAAUUCUCGGCCCAAAGCCCAAAUCCAAGAAGAAAGGGGUUGACCUAAUCCUUGCCACCUCACUUAUAUCCCACAUAUCUCCAUGCAUGGACCAACAUGCAUCUAGGAUUGUCAACUCACCUCUCUCUCUUCUCUUCUUCUUGACUUCGGCCAAAAGCACCCACACACACACACACUUCAUCACUUUUCACACAUCAAACACUUUCAAAAACACCUUCACCUCUCUUCACUAAAUUUUCGAAGAUUCGAGGGCAUUUCAAGGAGAUUUUUCACAAGAAUCACCAUCCAAGGUAAGGUUAUACUUAAAUCUAUGAUCUAAGUUCCUUGAUCUAUCAAAAAUCUCUUCCUAAUCCAUGCAAAAAUCAUGAUCUUGCAUCUUAGAAACACCUCAAGGCCGAGAUCUUCAUCAAGGUGUGCUAGGGGCCNGGGCCAAAAAUCACUUCAAACUUCUUCCAAUCCUUUCCAAAACCGAAACCACAGCCAAGGUGAGCUUCAUACCCCCUUAUUUUCGGUUUUUAUAAGUCUUGUGGGGGGAGAAUACAAGCAAAUGUGUAGAUCUAUCAUUAUGUGUAUGCCUUGUAUGAUUUCUAUGUUUAUUUACAUACUUUUGUGUGUUUAUGGUGUUGAAACUAGUCAAAGGACCUAAAAAUCAAGAUUUCUGUUAUGAUGCAUGAAACAAGAGCUAAAACAUAUCAUUAUACAUAAGACAUUACAAGAAAAAUAACCAAGUUGGUUUAGAUGAACAUUUUGGGCUAAAAAUCACAUUUUUGGACUUAAAAUGUUAAAAACAUGAAGUUUAAGGGCCCAAAACGUCAAAAUACAAAUUCUGGAGGUUAAGAUGUGUCAAAACAGUUUCAUAUAGUAAUUUUCCAGAAAUAUACACUUUAGAAUGUUUAAAAUGUAUAUUUCUAAACUUAAUGGGCUAAAAGGGAACUUUUCGGCCCAAUAAGGCCCACUAUGCGAAAAAUCCAAAGUUGAGGGGCUGAAAUUGCAUUUUCUAUAAAACAGGGGACUACUAGUGUCCCAAGUCCAUUUCAAAGGUUAAAAAUGCUUUUCACAUUUAAAAGGGACCAAAAAUGCAAAAAUUCUCUAUUUUGGGCCAAAAGUGUAAAAUUUGCGAAAAUAAAGGUUCCAGCCGAAAAAGUUUCAUUUCGAGUGACUAGAACUGUUUUUCAAGAAGCUUUGAGCUGAAAAAAUACUUUUUCUAUAAGAUUUAAUACUAAAGUGUCAAGAAAAAUGGCUUAGGGACUAAAAUAUAAAUUAUUUUAUAUAAGGGUCCAAAAGUGUAAAUUCAUCUAAAAAGAAGGGUCUGAAAAAUGUAAAAGAUUAAUGUCUUAAGCAAUGAACCCGACACAAUGAAAUGCUAGUACGUCAACUAUCGGCGAAAUACAAUACACCUACAACACCAAAAAUCGUUAUCGAACGAAUUGAUUCGGUCUCGAAUCAAUAACAAAUCCAAAACUACUAACGCUACGACACUUCAAUACACACAUGGAACUCUCGGAAACUCUAUACACACGUGGAAAUACACUAGACGUCGACACUCCGUCCUUGGGCCCAAAAGGUUCAAAUCAUGCUUGUUGGGCCUAGCUAGCCCAAUGACAUGAUCUUUAGGCCCGAAGGAAAUUUGCUUACAUGUAGUUAGGUCUAAUACGACUUAAUUCCAUGUAAAAGGACUUUCAAUGGCAAACGUGCUGCUGGUCCCCAAGGGUCCUUCGGUACUGCUAGCAAAGUCGAGAAUUCACCAAUGCGAGUUGGGCUAAGGGCCCUUCGCAUUCACUAUAGCCUUGAACGACGUAGGGAAUUACCGGGGGCUUCGCACCCUCUUUUUCCCCUCGGUCGUGGGGCUACAUGAGUCCGGGGGGUUGGGUUAUGUGAAUAAGUGCAAGCAACGCCUAAGGGAUCGUUUGUACGAUUGUCAACUGGUCGUUUUCAUUAACGUCCGUUACAACAAUUCACAAUCCACUAUUAAUCCAACGUCUCCGGAGCUCAACGAAUACCCUAUCGUAACGAAAUAACAAUACAUAAACUAAUUACAGCAAAGUGAUAGGAAAACGUCGGGUUUUCCUAGGGUUUUCAACUAUUACACCUACGAACUACAUAACGAGUUUUACAAAUCGUACACAUACAUUUGUAGAAACCAACAAGCAUACUUAUGGAUCUUCACACCUUUUAUACUAUACUAUUUUCAGAAAAUAUCGGAUUUUCUGGUGAUUUUCAAACAAUACAAACCACUAUAUUUCAAACAUUACUUAUGAACUCACCAACAUUUCAUAUGUUGACGUUUUUCAAAAUACUUGUAUUCUCAGGUAACCGGUAAACCGAAGGGAAAAAUGUACUCAGUGAUGUCUUGUUGUUGUUUAACUAGUAUUGAACAAUCUACUUUUGAGAAUGUAAUGUUUUGAGACUAUGUACUGAAUGUAAACGCUACCAGUUGUAAUAUUCCAAUGCUUGGUAUUGUAUGAUGUUAUGAUUCAUGUAUAUUCAUUGUGAUGGUAUUCAAUUGAGUCACAACAGCCCCCGGACGUUUCCGCCGUCUAGUUCGGGGGUGUGACAUUGAUAGUGGAGCGGAGAGAAGUUUAGUGAACCAAAAGUUUGCUCAAUUACUUAAGAAAAAAUCACAAACACUUAAAGAACCGUUCACUGUAGAAAUGGCUAAUGGCAAGACAGAGAGCACUAGCAGUAUAUUCAUAGGAUGUACCCUAACUUUAGAUAGCUACUCAUUUUCGAUCGAUCUCAUGCCCGUCUCAAUUAAAAGUUUCGACGUCAUUAUCGUCAUGGAUUGGUUGAGUUCUCAUCNAUCAUGUGUUACGAAAAGGUUGUUCGCCUAAAUCUACCGUCUGGCGAAACCCUAAUAGUUUAUGGCGACAAACCCGGCACGAACCUUCGUAUCAUCUCGAGCAUCCAAGCUUAGAAAUUCUUGCGAAAGGAAUGUCAUGCAUUCCUUGCUCAUGUGGUCGAUGUGAGCCAAGAAAGGAAGGACAUUCAGAACAUUCCAUUAGUAUGCGACUUUCCCGGCAUCUUUCUAGAAGAACUCCCAGGAUUACCUCCGCAACAUCAAGUCGAGUUCCGAAUCGACUUAGUUCCAGGGGCUACCCCCAUAGCCAAAUCGCCCUAUCGUCUAGCACCUGCGGAGAUGCAAGAACUGUCCGGUCAACUUAACGAACUGCUCAGAAAGGGCUUUAUAAGACCAAGCUUUUCACCCUGGGGAGCUCCAGUCUUGUUCGUCAAGAAGAAAGACGGAUCGUUUCGUAUGUGCAUCGACUACAGGGAGCUCAACAAGCUGACGGUCAAAAAUCGUUAUCCGUUGCCUUGUAUCGACGAUUUAUUCAACCAACUUCAAGGGGCGAGCUUCUUUUCAAAAUUCGACUUGAGAUUCGGAUAUCACCAACUACGAGUUCUAGGGGAGGAUGUUCCCAAGACAGCCUUCCGAACUCGUUAUGGGCACUACGAAUUCGUAGUGAUGUCGUUCGGAUUAACAAACGCGCCCGCAGUAUUCAUGGAUCUGAUGAAUAGGGUUUGUCGUCCUUACUUGGAUCAGUUCGUCAUCGCUUUCAUUGACGACAUCCUGAUCUACUCCCGNGAGCAUAGUCAACAUCUGCGACAAGUCCUCGAAACAUUACGUUCGGAGAAGCUCUACGCGAAGUUCUUGAAAUGCGAAUUUUGGAUUCGACGAGUCGAAUUCUUAGGGCAUGUGGUUAGCGACGAGGGAAUACACGUGGACCCUUCCAAAAUUAAAGACUUUGAGAACUAGUCAGCACCGAUGACGCCUACAAAAUUCAUCAAUUUCUAGGCCUCGCUGGCUAUUAUCGCAGGUUCAUUCAGAACUUCUCCCGCAUAGCGAAACCUCUUACAAAACUGACCCAGAAGGGCGUGGCCUUUGACUGGGAAUAGAAGCGGGAGAGAGCAUUCCAAACGCUCAAACGAGCCUUGUGCACUGCACCAAUACUAUCCCUCCCUGAAGGGAUAGAAAACUUCGUAGUCUAUUUCGAUGCAUCGAAUCAAGGGCUCGGAUGUGUUCUGAUGCAGCGAGGUAAGGUCAUCGCCUAUGCUUCGAGACAGCUGAAGACACAUGAGGUCAACUACACGACCCACGAUCUUGAACUAGGAGCAGUUGUGUUUGCUCUGAAGAUCUGGAGACAUUACUUGUACGGAACGAAGAGCACUAUCUUUACAGCCCACAAGAUCUUACAACACAUCUUCGACCAGAAGGAGCUCAACAUGAGACAACGACGGUGGGUCGAGCUACUCAGUGAUUACGAAUGUGAAAUUCGUUAUCAUCCGGGUAAAGCCAACGUAGUAGCUGACGUCGUGAGUCGGAAGGAAUAUUCUGGUCGUAGAGUCAAAUCAUUGACUAUGACUAUCCAUUCACACUUGUCCACACAAAUUAAGGCAGCUCAACUCGAUGCUUUGAAGCCUGUAAAUGUGGUGGGUGAAUCCCUAAGAGGGAUGGAUAAGAACUUUGAGGUUAAGGGUGGUGGAGCUUAUUAUUUCAUGGACCGGAUCUGGACCCUAAAACUAGGUGGUUUCAGAGACUUGGUCAUGAACGAGGCACACAACACUCGUUAUUCCGUGCACUCAGGAUCAGAUAAGAUGUAUCUGGACCUCAAAAAGUUAUACUGGUGGCCUAACAUGAAAGCAGAGAUUGCUACCUUCGUGGGUAAAUGCCUUACUUGCGCCAAGGUCAAGGUCGAAUACCAGAAACCCUCAGGUCUAUUAUAACAGCCUGAGAUACCGGAAUGGAAGUGGGAGCAGAUAACUAUGGAUUUCAUAACCAAGUUACCCAAUACGACGGGUGGACUUGAUACCAUAUGGGUCAUCGUCGAUAGACUGAUCAAGUCUGCACACUUCCUGCCGAUCAAAGAAACAAACAAGAUGGAGAAACUUACAAGAACUUUCAUAAGGGAGAUUGUACGACUGCACGGUGUUCCCUUAUCUAUUAUCUCGGACAGAGAUAGUAGAUUCACUUCGAGGUUCUGGCAGUCGUUACAAAGUUCCUUAGGAACUAGGCUGGACAUGAGUACAGCCUACCAUCCACAGACCGACGAGCAAAGUGAGAGAACUAUCCAAACUUUGGAAGAUAUGUUGCGAGCCUAUGUGAUAGACUUCGGGAAAUCAUGGGAUACUUAUUUACCCCUUGUCGAAUUUUCCUACAACAACAGUUAUGACACGAGCAUAAAGGCUGCUCCACUCGAGGCCCUCUACGGCCGAAAGUGCAGAUCCCCUCUGUGCUGGGCUGAGGUGGGUGAUACUCAGUUAGCUAAAGGACUAGUUUUUGAAAGUACUCUCACAGGUCCAGAGAUCAUACGGGAAACGACAGAGAAGAUCGUUCAAAUCCGUGAACGAUUGAAAGCCUCCAGAGACCGACAGAAAAGCUACGCUGAUAAACGUAGGAAACUGUUGGAAUUCCAGGUGGGUGACCGUGUGCUAUUGAAGGUCUCACCCUGGAAGCGCUUGAUACACUUCGAAAAGCAUGGAAAUCUAAAUCCAAGGUACAUUGGGCCUUUCGAGAUUCUCGCCAGAAUUGGCCCUGUAGCUUACAAACUUAACUUACCGCACGAACUCAGUAACGUACAUUCUACCUGCCACGUAUCGAACUUGAAAAAGUGUCUGUCCGACGAGACUCUUGUUAUUCCACUCGACGAGAUCGAGAUCAACGAGAGCCUCAACUUCGUGGAGGAACCAUUAGAGAUCAUGGACCGAGAGGUCAAGCAAACGAAACAAAGCCGCAUCCCGAUUGUGAAGGUUCGCUGGAAUGCCAAACGGGGACCGAAAUUCACAUGGGAGCGCGAGGAUCAGAUGAAACUGAAAUAUCCUCGUCUUUUUACUUAGUUAUUUGUAAAUACUUUAUUUGCUUAGACUUUAAUUUCAGGAAGAAAUUCCCUUUAACGGGGGGAUGAUGUGACAACCUGGAAUUUUCACUCAGUCAAACCCUAAAAGUCAAUCACCUCAUAUUAUAAGUCAAUUUCAUUUCUAUUUGUUUUUAACAGCUUUAAAGUUUGUUUGGCUAUUAUAAUAAUUAUUCUUUAAAUGAACGGGUGAAAGAAUGUGAUGCCUCGAGUCUUGAAAUUUCUAAACCGCGAAUACCAGGUAGCGUAGAAGUUCACGGCCAAACUUUUAUGUUUGGGCCGUAAACUACCAAAAAAACGUUAAACUUAUGCUUAAGCAUGAGUUUACUCCCCAAAGUACCUCACUUCUCAUUUUCACCCUAAAGAGUAAACUCCAAACACUCUCAACUAUCAUCCCGGUUUUCACCCGAUUUCCCGAAAACGUGAGUAUUUCUCGACUUAAUUAGUUGAUGUAUCAUACCUACUAGUGAUUAUACAUCUUUUCAUCCAUCCAUUUUUGUGUUUUGAUUAGAUUUCCAAAACACCAAGAACACACACUAGUGUUCUUGGACUUUUUGUUCAUUUCAAGCUUCCACAAAGUAAGUACUUCUAUCCUAGAGUCUUUUAAAGCUUGCUAUACAUCUUAAUAUCAAGGAAAUGUCCCAAGAACACCAAGAACAAGGUGUUCACGGUUUUGGGAGGCUCCCAAAACUGUAAACACCAAGUAUAGUGCCAAAGGGUGCUUUAGGGUGUCUAGGUGCUUCACAAUGCCUUAGGGACUUGUCUAGAUCAUUCCUUGAAGUGUUUUUCACAUAAACGAACAAGAAAACACUCAUUUAUAUGUGUUUACAGUUUGGGGAUCUCCCAAAACCGUAAACACCCCAAAAGGUGUAUAAAUGCCCCAUAUUUAUUCCUUAUGCCUGGAAUCUAACCUAGACUAUUACCUUGAUGAGCUAAGGACUUGAAAACCCUCAAAUACCAUAAACGUUAUGAGUUUAUGGUAGUAAACUCAAAGGAAAAUGGUAAAGGGAACGUAAACUUCAUUUAGGAGCAAAAUGGUGCCCUAGUUCCUUCCAUGGUCACAUACAUCAAGUAGAAAAGCUUCUAGAGACUCUUAAAGCUUCAAAAAACAAAUGGUCAUAAAGAGGGUGAGCUUACAACCGUAAACCCAAGGGUUUACGACCGUAAACCCUUUUGGUUAUGACCACAAAACCGUAAACUCCCUAAUGGAGUGUUCCUUGAACCCCAAACACACUAUCCUCUUCCUACAACACUUAGAUGCAAUCCUUGAGACUUAUAACACUUGUAUAAGGUGUUUAGCAUGUCCUAGGGUGUCUUGACUUUUUUAUUUGUUGUUUAAAGACUAAUUGGAUACAUAUAUGUGAUAUUAUAUGUUAACUAGGAUCAUAGAGUGUGUUCAAGACUUCACUUGACACCUAGCAAUCCUACAUCUUCAGUUCAUCCGUACCACUCACUACAGGUGAAUUCAUACUCCUUAAUCAAUGUUUUAAAUGUUUUUAAAUGCUUUAUGGGGGGAUACAAGUUAAAUACUUAUAGUUAUUACAUCAAUCACAUGUGAUUAAUAACUACAAAACCAGUGAUUUUCUUACUGUUCAAACUGCUUAUCAAACUAUUUUUCUUCAAACUGUUUUACUUAUCAAAUACUUAUACUUAAGCUCUUUUAUACUUAUUAUCAAAUUGCAUGCCUAGAUAUGUAUAGUUAUAUAAGUAAUGUUUGAAGGACUUAGGAAGGCUAACCCACCUUAUUUCCUUUUCCCCGUUGGGAUGUGGUCUGGUAGGAUAUCGGGUAUCCGUCCGAAGAUCGUUUAACUAUUAGUUAUAUAUCAUGUGUACAUAUAUAGUCAUAAAAGGUUCUUCCAGUCAAUUCAAUACCCUUGGGUAGCAAGGGUAUACUUCCAUGUUUAUACGUACAAGUUAUAUUACUAGUAAAAUACAAUAGGCGUAGUUUAGGGUUUUACUAAUACUAAUACUAGAAAAUUGAAUCAUACAAAGAGUCAGUUCAUACAUGAGUCAUAAUACAUAGUGAUGAGAAACAAACAUAAUACAUAGUGAUGAGAAACAAACAUAAUACAUAGUGAUGAGAAACAAACAUAAUACAUAGUGAUGAGAAACAAACAUAAUACAUAGUGAUGAGAAACAAACAUAAUACAUAGUGAUGAGAAACAAACAUAAUACAUAGUGAUGAGAAACAAACAUAAUACAUAGUGAUGAGAAACAAACAUACAGGCUAGACAGAGGAACAACACACAAUACAGCUAGCACAUACAUUACAUAUACAUUACAUUCAGUUAUGUGAGCCAUUAAACGGGUCAUGGCACUACCUGCCAUGACCGUUUUUGUAUCCAGAAUCUCCUUAAUUGGGGAGCAUAUGAGUUUGCGUAUAGAUCUAUACUGGAUUGGCUAUCCUACACCUUGCUGCUCGCUACAGUGGGACUGCAAGUCUACGGGUGCCAAAUGUCAUUUCUUACGGAAUCUUACAUCGUCGUUUUACUAUUGAGUCGGUAGCAGGGUACAGGCCGAUCACAUGGUACUUUAAAUAACAAUUGGUUUAAGGUAGUUAGUACAGCAGUAGUUACUUAGUACAACACUACAAUACUAUAAUAUUUUUCCCAUUACAUUCACUUCGUGAACAUCCACACGACGCACGGUAAUGUAAAAACUAUAUUUUUGGUUAAUGAUAGUCGGAUUUGGGAAAAUACACACUCUUACAUGAGACACACAUAGUUACUAGAUGCCUUGGCAGAAGGCUACUGUUAGUAGGAAACAUAGGGUUUUCUAGGAAUGUUCAAACAAAUACAAACUUUACAAAACUUAUACAUCACAUCUUACAAACAUCUUACCAAUGCUUUCAUUCAAACUUAGACACUAAUAUACUUAUGAUCUCACCAGCUUUAAAGCUGAUACUCGCUUUAAAAAUAACUUGUAUUCUCAGGUCACCAGUAGACGGGUACCGGAGCCAGGUUUUUGAGAAGAUGGAGCUUGUUCAAGACUCCUCUUUUAUUUUGAAGUACUUUUUUGGUGUCUAUUUAACUUAACAGAACACACUUGUAUGAAAUUAUAUUAUUAAUGCAAUGGAUGAUGUUGUUGCUUGUUUACUACUUUGCAUUGUUGUGAUAUUAUACAUGACGUCCUCCACCCCCGAAAGCUUCCGCCGUUCAGGUUUUGGGGUGUGACAGAUAACAACUGCCCAAUGAACAUGAUUUCUUGUAUAAACCCCGACUCAUACAAAAACUUGGACUAGAUAUCCACUUGAACUAGGAUAUGAAAUUCCACAUUGAUUAACACUUGUAAAUAUUCCCUUUAAUCCCAACAUUUCUCCCCCAUUUAGGUUUAGUUACACUCUGCCAACCUUAUAACCAUUGGAUUUUCAAGCCAUCCCACAAUCUCACUACUCAAUCACCACCAUCCUGAGCUCACAAGAACUAAGAUUCAAUGACCAAUAAAUCUAGGGUUCCCUCACCCCAAGCCAGAUUAAGCACUUUGAUACUCUUGACGAAAGAUUGUCGCAUCCAAAGCACCUUCCCCUAAUACCAUUCCAAAUCCCUGAACAAAUGCAACCAAUGACAAAAAAAAACGAAUAAACCCACUAUCAUAAAUAGAUAGAUAACCAAUCCAAUGACUCACUUGUUACUAGUAAAAGCCCACUCGAACAUGCAUCAGCCACUUUUUGAAUUAGUAAAUUAAAAACAACUCUUACCCUACUAACAAUAACGAUCGGUUCAAUAAUAUAACCAACCCUUCAAAUGACUUCCAACCUGAGCGGAAUAAGAACCUUUGAAAUCUAUUUUUGUUUUCCUAGAAAAGACAACUGGCUACAACAAGAUCUUUGUCUAGCAACUUCCGACGCGAGGACCAUACGCACAUCUAUGAAAGCAUGAAUCUGACAGCAACUCACCCUGUACUCGCGAUCUGACCAAUCCCUUAUACCUCAUAACCAUGUAAGAUCUCUACAAGCUCGAAUACCAAAAAUUCAGUAAACUUACUCAUAUCUUCCUCAGAUCCCUUUCGCUGAAACCAUCAAAAUCAAUCUGGCUGCUAAUCCUCCAAGUAGAACACUAAGUUCACUCCCACCUAGGGCUCACACUAUCAUUGGUCAUCUCUACCCAUGGUGACGCCCACAAUCAGCUCAACUAUAUACCCUUCAAACAUGAUUCUCGGUAUGAAAAAUGGCAUCUGACAAACCCUCGAAUGAUUAUAACUAGGCAAUCAUAAAGAAACUUUGAUUCUUAAAUGGAGACUUAAAUAAACUGAACAUAACAUCUCACACACGAAAUCACAUGAUCAAAAGCAUAAAUAUUAAAAAGCAUGAAGGAAAUGAAUACAAUACAUACCUGCAGCAACUUCUGAUGGAACUCUAGUCUCCUCGGCCUACAACUGAAAUGUGCGGCUCCUCACCACUAGAGCCUCCACCCCGCCCACAUGGCCAUUAGUAAUCCUCAUUAUAGCUAGAGAAGGCGCCCUCACUGAUCCACUCGUCAAUCUCAUAUAUUCGGCCUUCUUAUGGCCCACCUAAUUACAGUGAAAACAAGUCGGAAUCAAACCCUGAGGACAAUCCCAGCUAAAUUGACCAGCCUUGCCACAACUAAAGCAUCCCCUUCCUUUCUCACGACAUCUCCCCUUGUGAGUCCUCCCAUACUUGUCACAACGACCCUGACUCUGAUGGUCUCCCGAUCACAAAUUUUGAUUCUUAGGCCUCUUUACCUAGCCCACUAUGGUUUGAACCUGCUCUGUCCCACACUUUGUCUUAAGCUGCAGCUCAAUAUCCGACUCCCAGGCUCUAGCAAUCAUGUCAUACAAGGUCUUGCAGUUUGAUAGGAUCACAAACUCUUGAAUAUCAUCCCUCAACAUAUCUUUAUAUCUUGUCUUCUUCAUCUCCUCAUCAGUUUCAUAUUGUGGAACAAAUAAAGCCCUCUCCCUGAAUUUGGCGGUGAUCUCCACUACGGUCUUCGUCAUCUGGAGAAGGUCCUGAAACUCCCUCAUCAACUGUUUCACCUUAACAGCUAGUGCAAACUCAGCCGAAGCUCACCACAAAAUCAUCCCAAUUCAUGGACGUCAUGACCGCAGCUCCUAGAGAGUGUUCGACCUCAUCCCACCAAUCACGGGCUCCAUCCCUCAAAAGUUAGGAUGUGAAUCCCAUCUUCAACCCCUCGAGGUAGAAACUCAUUCGAUGAGCAUUAUCCAUGUCAGUGAUCCAACGUCGGCUAGCAAUGGCGUCCUUCUUCCCAAAGAACUUUGGGGCUCCACAAGCCUUGAAUUCCCGAAAAGAGAGAGUUUGAGCCCCUAACUGACCCGCCACAAUCUUAGCAUGAAAAUCCCCUAAACACUCAUCUAAAAGCUCCAUGAUCCCAUCCUUAAUGGUACCAAACAUCACAGGAGUCGCAUCCAAAAUAUCACAAGUGAUCUCAUACGAAACGAACUUAUGUACCCUCUCAUCGAUCGACUAGGCACCAAAGCCUGAACCUAAGCCAAAACCAGACUUUCCUCCACGAGUUCUCAUCAACAUACUAAAAAGCAACCAAACAAAUGAUCAAAACAUACCUAAAGAAUUCUUUAUUCUACAUGCUUCUUAGAAUCCUUAGGACUUUCCCUGAUUCGAGUAUAGAUCAUGUGCUUCCAGUAGGACUGACCCAUUACCUCCUUCCACACCUAUCCAUACUUUCCACAAGAAUUAUCCUGAAUCCUCUAAGUCACCUCCUUAUAACGAUACUCCUAUAACCCGCUAAACAACGUACGAAUUCCACUAAAGCACUUCCUAGGCUCUCCUAGGAUCCCCUACCUCACCCUGUCAUCAGCUGCUGAAAAACUCCUACUAAUGUUACCUAACUACUUCAUGAAUACAAUUACAUGCAACAAAGCUUAAGUAAUCCUUCGACUAAAAGGCUGAACCCUACAACGGUUGGACUCAGACAAGAAUUAUGAAAUAUGGCCAAAUCAAUCACUCCAAGAUUAUUUAACCUUCGUAGCAUGUAACUUAAUAUAUUCAUUUAGUAGUUAACUCACAUCAAUAUGAGUCCUACAAAGCACAAAGCAAGCAACAUUCAAGUAGUAGAACUAUACAAUCCAUAAAACAUUCGAAGGCAUCCUUCCUAAUAGGCAUCCUAUCACGCAACCCUAAAGAUAUCAUUAUGCUAACCUCUAGCAUGAAAAAAAAUUCUAUAAUGCAUAUAACAUAUCCACAUGAAUGGGUAUUCUGGGAAUCAUUUACUUGAGCUCGGCUGAUUGCAUGCAUCACAACCCUUUCAUUGUAAAACACUUUUUAGAAAUAUUAUUUUCAUUCAAAAAGAUUAUCAUUUCCUCAGUUUGAGUCCAGAAACACUCGAGAGUGUGCCCGGAUCCCUCAAACCAAGACUUUGAUACCAAUAUGUAACGUCCUAAAAUUAGUAGUAAACUUUUCAAUUCUUCAAACACCCAAAAAUACAACCAACUGUUCCAAGCCAAUCAUAGUAUAAAUAAUCUCAACAUCAUAGUGAAACCAAAUAACAAUGCAGAAUAAAAUCAAAGGGAUGUAGUGCGAUCAGGUCGUGUUCUUCCCUUAGAAACUGGAAGUACCUGGAAAUGUUUAAACUACAAACCAUAAGCAUAAAACUUAGUGAGUUCCCUAAAAUACCCCAUACCAUACAUAAUAAUGGGCCCAGCCCGCACAUUGGGCCCAACCCAUAAUAGCAGGCCCAUCCCGAUAUACAUAUGGGCCAAGCCCAACAUACAUAUGGGCCUAACCCAGCAUACAUAUGGGCCAAAGACAGCAUACAUGUAACAUCCCGACUCCCAAGUAUGAAUUUCAAGAAUUUUUAAACAUCCUUUAAGACCUACUCGACAAGUUGGAGGCCCCAACUCGCCGUGUAGAAGCUGACCAGGCCACCUUGUUUAAUGGACCUACUCAAUGAGUUGGGGACCCACCUCGACGAGUUGGAGCUGAUUAUGAAAACCCUAAUUUUUAGGGUUUGCACCCUAUUUAAAGGACAUAACCCGCAUCAUUUGGCCUCCCUUAUCACCUUAUUGCCCAUAGAAGGAAACCCUAGCCAUUCUUUACCACUUCCUUGUGUGUGUGAGCUUUUAAAGUCAUUUUGUGCUCUUUUGGAAAGGAUUUUGAAGCUUGAAGAAGUUGGAGCAAAGGGAAAAGUAGUAGAUCCGACAUCUACUCUGUGUUAGCAACCAUUUAGAGGUAAAAAGUCUUUACCUUGGCUUUCCAUUCCUUAGAGCUUCUCUUAUGCAAUAAUAUGGUCAUUUUUGGAACAAAAUGGAGUCAUUCUCAAAUUUGAGCUUGUCCAGAGGAUGUGGUUUCAAAUCUGGACACCUCUAGGCCUCCAUGAACGUAAAGUUGCCCUCGUUAUCUAGUCUUAGACCUCCCUCAUGCCCUAAACGUCUUAUUUAGCUUAGUUUUGGUGUUUUGAUCCCUUUGAUGCCUUGCAUGCACGUAAAGUUAGCAACUUUACAUGGUAUCCUAGUCCUAAGAGGCUAGAUCUAUAAUUUGGAGCCUUGGAGUCGACUGAAAAAGGCUGAACGCGUUAAGACAGGAAGAACUCGAUGAGUUACGGAGCCAACUCGAUGAGUUGGAAAGAGUUUACAUGCCUUCUGGAUUCUGAGUGAACUCGGCAAGAGGGUGAGAUGACUCGGCGGGGUGUCGAAGGCAUCAAUAUUGGCCCUUCUUUUGGAUUGUUAUCCUGCUUAUCGCAUGAUGAUAUUCAUAGUGAUAUGUUAGAUAUGUAUCCUGGUAUAUAGGAUGAUGCUAUGUUUAGUGACCUGUUAGGUUGGUAUCUUGGUAUAUAGGAUGAUGCUAUAUUUAGUGACCUGUUUGUAACACCGUAAUUUUUCAAAAUAAUUUUUCUUUUUCAAAAUCACAUAAUGUAUCACAUCACAAAUCAAAAUCCAUAAUCAAUACUGUUUUCAAAACCAAAUCCCAAGAUCUCUACACAUAAUAAACUCCAUCGGUGUGUGUACGUGUCAAGCCGUCGCCUUCCCACGGUCCUCGCUGGUACCUGAGACAUCAAACACAACAACUGUAAGCAUAAAUGCUUAGUGAGUUCCCCAAAACACCACAUACCACAAAUACGCCACUCAAGGCUAAAUCCGACCCUCUGGUCUAAAUGUCUCAGCGGGACCCUCCAGUCCCACAGCUCAUCGGACCCUCCGGUCCAAUCACAGCUCAUUGGGCCCUCUGGCCCGGUCAGAAUCGUUGGGCCCUCCGGCCCGGUCAGAAUCGUUGGGCCCUCCGGCCCGAUCUAUAUAACCAUACAGCAUACAAAUAACACAUAGCACGAAAUCUCUAAGACAACACAUAAUCACAUACAUAGCACAUAAGACCCUUUGGUCAACUCGAAACACCACUCAAGGUAAUGUAUAGUGAGAAGACUCACCUCGCGUAUCUCGGUAANCCAUCCUACAACACAAGCGUAUUUCUACUUAAUACUACUUGACUCUGGCUGACUAAUACCACGAAGUCAAACCAGUCAAUGGUCAACCCGACUCGCCGAGUUUGGCAUGGACCCACCGAGUUCCUACGGGAACCCGAUCCCUCUGAAUCUCUUCCGACUCACCGAGUCACUCACCCGACUCGGUUACUCAACCCUGGUUCGUAAUCGUUGAACAACCCGCACCAACUCGCCGAGUCUGGGGAAUGGACUCGGCGAGUGCAUUCCAUGCACAACCCCAAACGACCUUCUGAGGUCAGAUCCGCUUCACUAACUCAUAGAUCCAGUCUCCUUAAGCUUAUUGACCACGUAAAGUCCAAGUCUUGAUGCUCAUCAAGCAUUGAAUAGCUCAUGAAUGGUGUUUUAGCCUCAAAUACAUUGAUCCCAAGCCAAAACCUCCAUGGAUGCAUAUAAAGCUUUGGCAAAGAGGUGCUCUGGACCUCUAUGGGUCCAGAUCCAGGACCUUAACUCGCUAAGGGACCAUGAGGACACUAGAUCUAGCCACAAAUGGGUUCAAAAGCCCUAAAUCUACAUGAACAUCACAAUAACAGAGAAUGAUUCGGAAUUGUACCUCAGUUGUGAUGUCCUGGACCUCAGUUCUUCAGGAAUCCACCCCUCUCUUGCUUCCUCUUGGCUAGAUCUCCUCUUUCCUUGCUAGGCAAUAACUCCAAGAUCAAUAAUGGCUCCUUCCCUCACUUGAAUCGCUCAAAUGCUCUAGGGUUUCACUCUGGGGACUGAUGAGCGCAAAUGACGGCCAUAAGGCCCUUUAAAUAUGCCUCAAACCCGANCUCACAAAUUCCAAAAUAAAUAAAUAAAUAAAUAAUACCUGGGAAUCCGGUCUGUUACACUGUUAGGUCGGUAUCCUGGUAUAUAGGAUGAUGCUAUGUUCAGUGACAUGUUAGGUCGGUAUCCUGGUAUAUAGGAUGAUGCUAUGAUUAGUGAUAUGUUAGAUCGGCCUGACUGUUUAUACAUGCUAGCUAGCAUUUGAUAUAUAUAUAAUUGAAUGUGUGUUUGGGGUGUGGGUUGAGGCGGUCCUGCUUUGUGCUCUAGGACAACAUACCCAGGGUGGCCCAAAUAAACUGAAGGUCCAAUGGGGUAUACCAGUCAUGCUGAAGGCCNUAUAUAUAUAUAUAUAUAUAUAUGUGUGUGUGUGUGUACAUGUGUGUGUAUGUGUUGAUUGUAUGUUUGGGGAUGGGUUGAGGCGAACCUACUUUGUGCUCUAUGCCAACAAACCCAGGGCGGCCCGGAUAGGCUGAAGGCCCGGUGAGGCCGGUCCAGUCAGGAGAAGGCCCGGAGAAUGGUCCAAACAGGCUGAAGGCCCGAUAGGGCAGACCAGACAUGCUGAAGGUUCUGAGGGUGGUCCAGACAGACUGAAGGCCCCGAGAGGGUGGUCUAGUCAUAUUGUAGACUCUAUAUGCAUGUUGUUUGUUAUGAUAUUGUUAUGGUUUGUAUGGCGUUGGUAUUUUGGGGUAACUCACUAAGCUUCGGGCUUACAGUUUUGGAUUUUGUUUCAGGUACUUCAGAUGAUUGCGUGAAGCUGAAGGCUUGAUCGUGCACCUCCUCACAUUUUAUGAUUUUGAUUUUUGGGAUACUAUGAUAUGAAACUAUUUUGAAAACAUUUUGUAAUAAAUAAUUUUUUUUGAAUGUUUGAAAAAGUUUUAAAUUUUUAAGAAUUUUAUGGAUGUUACAAGUUGGUAUCAGAGCCUUGGUUUGAGUGAAUUGGAGGAACACUCGUGUGAAACCAGUCUCAAACCAAGGAAAAGAUUUUCAAAUAGUUCUCAAAAUACUAAAGGAGGAUACAGAGUGUACGAUCAGCUGGAGCCAGUAAGUAGACCCCAAAAUACCAUAUGGUUAUUUGAUAUUGUGAUAUGUUAGAACAACAUUCUAGUGACAGGCUAGGGAUCUUCAAGAAUUGCGUGAUAGAAUUUCCUAAUUAUAUGAUGCCUGAUAGCCUAGGGUUUUCCUUAUAUGAAAUUGACAUCAUUACUAUAGUUGCUUAGUGUAUGCAUUAUAGUUGUACAUAAUUAAGAUCUUAUAGCCUGAGAAUGUUUGGUUUGGCCUUAUUUCUUGUUCUUGUUUGAUGAAGGGCUUAGGGUAGGAUUAGAUAUUCGAAUGUCUAUAGGGUCCAGCAUUAUGUAUGACCAGUAUACACGAGUGUUGCAGGGUUGGUGAAAGUUUCAUGGAUGAGUUGUGCGGGGUAAGUCAGCCAGUUAUAAGAUAUUUAGCCUUCCUCUAGGAGUGAGGAUUAGGUGCUCGCCUAUGCUUAUGUAUAUUGUUAGGGUGUUGUGAUGAUACAUGAGACAAAUAUGGGUAGUUGUGGAAGGUAGUAUGGGCCCGUACUACUCAAAGCAUAGGACCCAUACGCGUACCAAGGAAGUCACAACCCCUAGGGCUUUGUUGGGUGUUGGUUCCCCCGAUAUUAUAUUGAAUGUCUGAUAUCUUCCUGGUAUAUCUUCAGUAUGGUGACUAUGAGGAGAUUUGUGACCGGAUCUGGAUCGGGAUUAGGGGAUGGCAGUUAGGGUAGACCAGCAGUGCCCGAGACUAUUGGUCAGAUGAGGCCAUAUAAGUUGGAAGCCAGGAUUUGGGAGAUCCUGCAUGAUGAGGUUGCUAUACUGUUUCGGGCUUAGUUGUCGGAGAUGUUUGGGUCUAUCAAGACCGCUAUGGUUGAGUACUUUGAUGAGCACUAUGCAGCCAUUGCUGAGACGUAUGUCGCUGUAGCCUCUGCAGCUAUAGCAGCCGCUGGUUGUGGGGCCAAUCGGGCUUUUCAUUACCGGGACUUUGAUAACACGAAGCCCCUGACUUUUGAUGGGAUUCAGGACCCGAUCAUAGCCAUCUUGUGGCUAUCUGACAUUGAGGGAUGCUUUUUCACAUGCUCAUGUCCUACUGACCAGAAGGUCGGGUGUGCUCUGAACCUGCUGAGUUCUGGAGCAAAGGACUGGUGGAGAUUGAUGACUAGGUCGUAUGCUGAUGAUCAAAGAGUUGUGGUUACUUGGGAUCAAUUUAGGGAGAUGUUACGCGCUCGCUACAUUCCACGGAUUGAGCAAGAUCGGCUGGCACAUGAUUUUUUGGAGUUGAGACAGGGCACGGACUCGGUGACAGAGAUCACCCAUAUGUUUACUAAGACGGCGACGUUUUUCCCGAAGUUUGUUUCCGAUCAGGCUUAUAUGACUCAUUAUCUGAGCAUGCUCAAGAGCGACAUCAGACAGUUUGUUGCUACCCAACAUUGUGAUACUCAACUGAAGUUACAGGAGGUCGCUAGGCGGUGCGAGCUUGAGAUUGAUUUACAGUUGCGAGAGCAGAGGCAGGCCCCAGCACAGUCUCAACCUAUGCCAAAGCGGUCCAAGACCGUUGAGUCUAGGUCUAGGGGCCAGCACGGCCGCACUUGUGGGAAGUGUGGGAAGGGUCAUUCUGGAGUUUGUAGAUCCGAUAGCGCGUGCGGCAAUUAGGGGCACUUUGGCGAGGGAUUGUUGCCAGUUAGCCCUGGUUCAGGAUAUGAGGAUCUAUUAUCACUACGAUCAGGUUGGUCACGUGAAGACCAACUGUCCAACAUUGAUCGCUGCCCAUCCGGCGCAAACUCCAGUUUUGGCUACACUGAGGAUUAGUAACGGGAGUCAGGGUAGAUCAGAGCCCCCGAGGGCUCGGGGACACACCAUUCAACUCACGGCUGAGGAGGCCAGGACAGCACCGGAUGUGGUGGCUGGUAUGUUUUUAUCUCUUAUCUUGUUGGUUAUAUUGUUUUACGAUUAUAUGUUUGUACCUAUGUUAGGUACGUUUUUAGUAAACUCCUUGCCUACAUUGGUAGUAUUUGACUACAGGGCGAGUCGGUCAUUUGUCUCUCGAUCGUUUAGUAGGGAGUUCGGUUUGCAUGUAGGAGAGCUAGAGUUUCUGUUGCGAGUCUCUAUCGCCAACGAACAUGGGAUUUCUGCUUCUUCAGUGUAUCGGGAUUGUGUUCUGGAGAUCUUCAGGGUAUCCUUCCCGAUAAACUUCAUUCUAAUUCCCAUGGGGGAUGUAUGUGUGAUUGUGGGUAUGGACUGAUUGAGUCGCUUCGGUGCCAUGAUCGACUACGAGGGUUAGCGGAUGGUAGUUCAAACCCCAAGUGGAGGAAAACUGGUUAUCUAUGGCGAGGGAACCAGAUUGGGUUCAGGGUUUUGCUCAGCUGCCAAGGCUCGACAGUAUACUCAGCACAGGUGUACGGGUUAUUUGGAGUAUAUGGUGGAUACGCGGGUCAGGGAUCAGGUUUCGGUUUCGGAUGUUCUGGUUGUCAGAGAGUUCGUUGAUGUAUUUAUGGAGAAGUUACCAGGAGUGCCUCCGGAGAGACAGGUCGAGUUCAGGAUCGACCUAGUGCUAGGUGCGGCCCCUAUCGCCAAGGCUUCGUACCAAUUGGCACCACCUGAGAUUCAGGAGCUGUCAUCUUGGUUGCAGUAACUGUUGGGCAAGCAGUUCAUCCGUUCGAGCAGUUCUCUGUGGGGAGCGUUGAUUCUCUUCGUCAGGAAGAAGGAUGGUCCACACCGGAUGUGCGUUGAUUACCGAGAGUUGAACAAGUUAACGGUGAAGAACCGUUAUCCCCUCCCGAGGAUAGAUGAUCUUUUCGAUCAGUUGCAGGGAGCAUCUUGUUUCUCCAAGAUAGACCAGAGGUUCAAAUACCAUCAGGUUAGGGUUAGGGAGGAGGACGUGGAGAAGACCGCGUUCCGGACUCGUUACGUUACGAGUUCGUGGUGAUGCCGUUUGGGCUCACCAACGCACUGGCAGUAUUUAUGGACCUAACGAAUCAGGUAUGCAGACCGAUGCUCAAUCGCUCGGUUAUUGUGUUUAUAGAUGACAUAUUGGUAUACUCCAAGACUAGAGAGCAGCAUAAUGAGCAUCUCUGUGAGCUCCUGGGAGUUUUGAGGCGAGAGCGGCUUUAUGUCAAGUUCUCGAAAUGUGAGUUUUGGUUGCGAGAGGUUUAGUUCCUUGGACAUCCUGUUAACCAUGAGGGGAUUUUGGUCGAUCCGGCCAAGAUCGAGGCGGUUAUGCAGUGGGAGGUUCCAAAAUCUCCCUCGGAUAUCAAGAGCUUCUUGGGAUUGGCAAGGUACUAUCAGAGAUUCAUACAGGAUAUCUCCGAGAUUCCGGUACCCCUCACUCAUCUGACGAGGAAGGGGGUAGAUUUCCGGUGGGGAUCUAAGCAACAGACUGACUUUGAGACUCUGCGACAGCGACUCUGCGAGGCGCCAGUUUUGACCCUCCCUGAGGGAGUUGAGGAUUUCGUGGUGUUUUGUGAUGCAUCGAUCAUCGAGUUGGGAGAAAUCCUUAUGCAGAGAGGAUGGGUGAUAGCCUAUGCAUCGCGGAAGCUAAAGCCACACGAGAUGACAUACCCCACACAUGAUCUAGAGUUUGGAGCGGUGGUAUUCGCUCUCAAGAUUUGGAGACAUUAUCUUUAUGGUUGUACCAUAUACAUGGACCACAAGAGUUUGAGACACAUCAUGGAUCAGCUAGACCUGAACAUGAGGCGACACAGGUGGCAGAUGGCUAGACGUACUCACGGAUUAUGACUGCGAGAUCCUUUACCAUCCGGAUAAAGCAAAUAUGGUUGCGGACGCACUGAGCCACAAUUCGGUUGGAUCUUCUGUACCAGCGACAUGUAUGAGGAUAUAUGUGGAUUCUCCACUCAUGAGCUUGAUUAGGGAAGCUCAGGAUGAAGGUGUGCGAUAGGAGAACUGGAAGCUUGAGAGGAUCAUGGGAGAGAUCACCCGAUUUGUGCAGGAUAGUCACGAAUUGUUGACGCGUUGCGUUCGGAUCUGGGUUCCGAUGUCUGGUGGGGUCAAAUAGAUUGUAUUGGAAGAGGCUCAUAAGUCUUGCUUCUCUAUUCACCUAGGGGCCACCAAGAUGUAUCGGGAUCUACGACUGAGUUACUGGUGGCCGUGCAUGAAGAGAGAGAUAACAUGGUAUGUCGAGAGGUGCGUGACCUGUAGGAUGGUCAAGGUCGAGCAUCAGAGGCCGCAUGGAAAGUUGCAGCCUCUAGAGGUUCCCAUGUGGAAAUAGGAACAGAUCAUGAUGGACUUCAUCACCAAAUUGCUGAGAACAAGAGUGCCCAUUUCCUGCCAUUCGGGAGAGCUCGUCGGCCGAGAAGCUAGCCGAUAUGUAUAUCCACGAGAUCGUUGCUCGCCAUGGGGUAGCAGUCUCUAUUGUCUCAUAUCGUGAUGUUCGAUUUACCUCUUGUUUCUGGCAGAAGUUCCACGAGGAUCUAGGCACGCGGCUGCAUUUCAGUACAGCAUAUCAUCUGCAGACAGAUAGUCAGAGUGAACGUACCAUACAGGCCCUCAAGGAUAUGUUGCGAACCUAUGUUAUUGACUUUAGUAGGAGCUGGCACUCCUACCUACUACUUGCAGAGUUCUCCUACAAUAACAACUUUCAUUCCAGUAUUAGUGCUCCACCAUUUGAGCUAUUGUAUAGACGGAGAUGUCGCACCCCAAUCUGUUGGGGUAAGGUUGGUCACACGGUGAUGGGUUGGACCGAGGUAGUUCUGCAAACUACCAAUAGGAUUUAGCAGAUUAGACAGCGGAUGCAGACUACUUAGAGUCGGUAGAAGAGUUACACCAACCAGCGCCGAUCUGAGUUGGAGUUUCAGGUUGGUGACAUGGUACUACUGAAGGUCCCACCCUGGAAGGGUAUGAUUCGCUUCAGAAAGAUGGGGAAGUUGGGUCCCUAAUACAUUGGACCCUUUUGGGUUAUUGUCAGGGUUGUCAAGGUGGCAUAUAGACUGGAUCUUCUAGAGGAUCUCAGUCAAAUUCACAGCACUUUUCACAUCUCGCAAUUGCGGAAGUACAUAUUAGAUGAGGAGGCAGUGGUGUCAUUGGAAGACAUUCAGGUCGAUGAGCGCCUGAAUUACGUGGAGAGGCCAGUGGCCAUUUCUAGAGAGAAAGGUGAAGGUCCUACAGAACAAGGAGGUACCUUUGGUAAAGGUACAAUAGGAGCAUCGGAGGGGAUCCGAGUGGACUUGGGAGCCGGAGGCCGAGAUGCGGGAGCAUUAUCCGGAGUUGUUCACCGCAGCAGACUUCGAGGACAAAGUCUAGUUCAAGUGGGGGAGAAUUGUAACAUCCCGACUCCUAUGUAUGAAUUUCAAGAAUUUUUAAACAUCCUUUAAGACUUACUCGACGAUUUGGAGGCCCCAACUCGUCAUGUAGAAGUUGACCAAGCCGCGUGGGUUAAUGGACCUACUCGACGAGUUGGAGCGAAUUACGAAAACCCUAAUUUUUAGGAUUUGUACCCUAUUUGAAGGACAUAACCCGCAUCCUUUGGCCUCCCUUAUCACCUUAUUGCCCAGAGAAGGAAACCCUAGCCGUUCUUUACCACUUCCUUGUGUGUGUGAGCUUUGAAAGUCAUUUUGUGCUCUUUUGGAAAGGAUUUUGAAGCUUGAAGAGGUUGGAGCAAAAGGAGAAGCAGUAGAUCUGACAUCUACUCUGUGUUAGCAACCAUUUAGAGGUAAAGAGUCUUUACCUUGGCUUUCCAUUUCUUAGAUCUUCUCUUAUGCAAGAAUAUGGUCAUUUUUGGGGUAAAAUGGAGUCAUUCUCGAAAUUGAUCUUGUCCAAAGGAUGUGGUUUCAGAUCUGGACACCUCUAGGCCUCCAUGAACAUGAUGUUGCCCUCUUUAUCUAGUCUUGGCCCACCUCCAUGCUCUAAACCUUUUAUUUAGCUUAGUUUUGGUGUUUUGAUCCCUUUGAUGCCUUGCAUGCACGUAAAGUUAGCAACUUUACAUGGUAUCCUAGUCCUAAGAGGCUAGAUCUAUAGCUUAGAGCCUUGGAGUCGACUGGAAAACAUUGAACAUGUUAAGACAGGAAGAACUCGAUGAGUUGCGGAGCCAACCCGACGAGUUGGAAAGGGUUUACCUGCCUUAUUGAUUCUGAGUGAACUCAGCAAGUGGCUAAGAUGACUCAGCGAGUUGAUUAGGGUUUUCCCGGUCUUCUGAACAUUGAAGAAAUCGAAGAGUUACUCGAGUAACUCGGCGAGUUGUCUCGAGUUUUCACGGCUUUCUAAGAUAUGAAGGAACUCGAUGAGUCAAUAGAUUAACUCGGGGAGUUGGGUCAACAUGGACUGUUGACCUUGAUCGUUGACUUUGAAUUUGACCAAAGGUUGACCAAGUUUGACUUCUAUGGGUAUCUUGGUAAUUUAGGAAUUUAUGAAAUUAGAUCAAUGGUGGUUGUUGGUGUUUGUGCUUGGAGUCGUGUUUCGGGAGUUUGAUCUUUUCAGUUCAGUUCGACAUUGUGAGGUGAGUUCUUCUCACUAUAUCAGCAGGGUGUCGAAGGCAUCAAUGUUGACCCUUCUUGUGGAUUGUUAUCUUGCUUAUCGCAUGAUGAUAUUCAUAGUGAUAUGUUAGAUAUGUAUCCUGGUAUAUAAGAUGAUGCUAUGUUUAGUGACCUGUUAGGUUGGUAUCUUGGUAUAUAGGAUGAUGCUAUGUUUAGUGACCUGUUAGGUCGGUAUCCUGGUAUAUAGGAUGAUCCUUGCACCAAUUAUCCUUCAACUUCCUUCAUAGAGCACCAAAACCACUAAAAUGAGCUAAAACUACCAAGAUGGAUUAGGGUUAGGGUUUAUGCAGUUUGAGAGAGAUGGAGAGUGAUAAAUGAACCCUAAAUUCGAGUUUAGGGAGCUUAAAUACGAAGGAAACCCUAAAAGAUCAUAGGAUUGGGUUGCAGCCCUUGUCACGUCGUAGCAACCUAUAUGUCACGUCGUAACCUCCCCAUGGUCAAGUCGUGACACAUGAUUUUUCCCAAAAAUCAUGCCUUUGACUUCUUUAUGCCCUACUUUGAUCCAAUCUGGAAAAACGAGUGUUACUCGUAAAAAUAAAUAACUAGAAACCCUAGCUGAGACUCAAAAACAACAAGAGCAAAAACAAGAGAGAAACAAUGAAAAGAUAUUUUAACUUAUGAACAAAUGAGAUGCAAACAACUUGUAACAUCCCAAAAAUACGAUCCAAAAAUUUCAUUUUUAAAAUAUAAUAAAAACGAUAAUCAUCAUUCAUAUAGAAAAGCAUAAGUCAUAUAUCUCAAAAUAUCAUAAACAUCUGUCAAAACAUAUCAUAGUAAAAACAUCCCAGGCUAAAUCAAUGGUGUGUGCACUGCAGUUAUCCCGAGCUCUUCCCCUUGCUACUGGAAGUACCUAAAACAAAAACUGAAAACUGUAAGCACGAAGCUUGCUGAGUCUCCCCAAACUACCAGAACCAUACACAUAUCAUAUAACAUACAACUAGGAGAUACGGGCCUCGCCCACACUCAAGGAGAUAUGGGCCCCCGCCCACACCUGGCUAACUAUAAGAUACGGGCCUCGCCCACACUCAGCUAUCUCAGAGAUACGGGCCUCGCCCACACUCUGCUAACUCAGAGAUACGGGCCUCACCCACACUCAGUUAACGAGGAGAUACGGGCCUCGCCCAUACUCNACCCCGCUAUCUAAACAUACAUAUAAGUAUCACACAGACAGCAAGUAUACCAUAAUCUACCAAUUCAUAAACAUACUCCGAUAAUACUAAGAUACAGGCCCUGCCCACACUUAGCUACAAAUCAUAAACGAGUCUAAGAUACGGGACUAGCCCACACUUAGUUACUAAUCAUAAACAAUUCUAAGACAUGGGCCCAGCCCACACUUAGCUACAAAUCAUAAACGAGUCUAAGAUACAGGUCCAGCCCACACUUAGCUACUAAUCAUAAACAAUUCUAAGAUACGGUCCCAACCCACACUUAGCUACUAUCAUAAACAAUUCUAAGAUACGAGCCCAGCCCACACUUAGCUACUCUACACGGGCCGGCAUUGGUGCCUUCAACCCGUUCCUACUGAAGGAAACUCACCUAUUACGGCAGACAAUCCUUGGCUGAUGGUUGUUGGCUGACAGAUUCCUAAACUGUCAACAUCAAAAUAAAACCCAAUUAACCAUUUGGGUUUCAAUACAUCACCAUAAUUACACACUUGGGGUAAAAGGACCAUUUUACCCUUAACAUAGGUUGGUCCAAGAUCAAGGCCCAACUUAUACUCUGAAGGCCCAAAAGUCAAUUAAUCAACCAAGGCCCAAUUAUGGCCAAUUUUCCAAAUUGGGCCCAAACCCCUUACAUGGGCCUCACCCUAAGGCCCAUGCAAAUAUAAUAGUCCAUAUACUUGUUCUCAAUUGGCCCAACAAGAAUCCAAACACUUAAGCCCAAAAGAAAGGCCCAACUUGAAGCCCCAUCAUAAUUAGGGUUUUCACAUAAAAUGACGAUUAGGGUUAAGUGUUCUUACUUAACCCAUUAAGGACUUAAUUCAUUAAGUCCAUCACUCCACUAGGUCAUUCAUACAAUGUAGUCGGACAUAAUUCAAAAUUCCAGUCUAACAGUCCAAACACAGGCCCCGACAAGUCCCAACAACAGUUUUCCAAGAUUAGGGUUUUCUAAACCCUAAUUAGGGUGUCCAACCCAAACAUAAGUCAAUUAGUCCCAAUGGUUAUGUUUUUGGCUGAUAUAAGCUUCACUAGGCCGAGCAGCACCCACUGCCACCUCGGACAAUGGUGGUCGACGGCGGAUCACGGUAGCAACCACCACCUCACGGUGGUGGUGGGGUUUUCCUUGGCUUUUCUCCAGCCAAAACACCCAACCAACAUCCCAAUCAUAUAGGGAACGAACUCAUACACAUCUAAUGGUACACAUACAACCACCUACGCGGUGGCAGGCGGCAGAAUCUCAUUUAGGUUUAGGGUUAGCUGAUGGAUCUUCAUAUAGGAGGGAAUAAGCCGUCGGGUUCCAUUCCAGUGUCCAUACCAAACUUGUGUUCCAUUUUCCAAGUUCGGCCCCUCCUCCACAAACCUUUUUCAACUUAAGUCCAAAACUUGCCUAACAGCCCCUGCCCUCAGAAACCUUUACAAAAUUGAAUCUGGAAUUUACCAUUUAGCCCUUGCUUCCCAAAAUCUAUUCAACACACGUCCAUGUGAUACCAUUUAAACUAUAAGUUCCCGAAUUUAUAACAUUUUACUCCCAAAGCUGUCGCUAAUAAGCUAUUAUGGAUUUAGGGCUAAAAUACAAUACUUAAAAAUACGUCUCGGGGUUCUAGGGUUUAUUAUUUAUUUAUUUAUUUAUUUAUUCAUUCAUUUAUUUAUUUUUAAAAACGGACUGUUACACAACUUUAAAUAGCACGAGUAGAAACAUGGAUCAAACACCGGGUAAACCACGUAUCAAACCCAUAAAUCGACCCAACUUCAACCCACGUGUCUACACAUCUAUUGAACAAAGUGAGUCGUAGUCCUCAAACAAUUCAUAAGUACAAAAUCAGCCCUUAUAGGAUAUAACCUACAUAUAAACAAGACAAAUACAUGCGAACACAACAAACCUGAUCCUUUAUGACAUCUUGUAAAUAUCAACAUACUUUUUCAACAAUGUUCCUAUCAAGAUCAAUAUUUUUCAUUUGGCAAAUACAAUUGAAUUGGGUAGCUAUGAGAACCAACCUCUUCUAAAAGAGGGAUUCUCGUAGAAUCGCUUUUAUGUCCCAAUUGUGAUUCUUAUAUUGAGAUGAUUCAUGAGGUUCUUAUUACUUGCGUCAACAUCCAUGAUUUGGUUCCUUAUUGCUCGCGCUGGGAGGGGGUGGGGACUUAUAUAUAUUGCAACUUAUACAGUCUCAUUUUUUUUCUUAGAAUGACAGGAAAUAAAUGCUUGGAGUGAUCUUCACUAUACUUUUUGGAUAAUUUAGAUGUCUUGAAUAUUGAAAUAAUAUGAAUACUAAAAUAAUGACCUUUUGGAGCAGUCAAUAAGAAGCACAAAUUUAAAUUUAAUUAAGUUGGUUGUACUUUUUUUUGAACGACAAAUCUAAUAUACUCCUAAAACUACUUCUAAUUCCACAUAAGUCCACGACGGAACUAGAACCAUCGACCUCAAGCAGGGAGGGCAACAUCUGAUACCGCUAAGUCAUAAGCCUUUUGAGAAUUAAGUCGGUUAUACAACCCCAAGAUAUAAUAUUUCCAUCUUACAAAAUAUUUCUGUUUUUUUAUAAUCUUUCUAUUUUAAUGAAAUUUUCUAAAAACAUGAAUCCAAAUUAGAAAGCAAACUCUUGUAUCCAUAUUUGGUUUGCUUUUUGUCGUUUUGAUUUUGCUUCAUACGUAAGAGACGAGACACGAGUCUAUAGAAACUUGGAGCAUUGUGGUCGUUAAAUAAAUAUACAAAAAAAGGAAAUCAAAAAGCCAAGUUGAAUUCCCACAUGGCAUGAAUUAAAUAUGUUUAGGUAAUUGAAUUUAUUUUCGAAUGCAGGUGAUGAAGAAAGACAUCAUCAAGUGUGCAACUUGUAUGUACCAUUUUCGUGGUGUCUUCCUUUAUUACCAUGGUUGUGCAUUUAAUGUUUUGGUUCAAUUAACCUAACGCCAUCUAUUUACCAAAAAAUAAAUCAGUGGUAUUAUUCAGCCGAAGUCAAAGAGAAUUUAUGAUAUCAAUAAAAAUAGACUGUCCAACCGACUAAAAAGCUAAUUAUAACCAAAGGACUUCUAGUUCAGUGUUAUUUGGUGUUGUCCUUUCUCAUUAAGGUUGAGGGUUCGAAUCUCACUGUGGACAUAUGUGAAAUAAUUUAAAAAUAGUUUAGUAUGUACAUAUAUUUGCCGUCCAAAUAAUAAUAAUAAUAAUAAUAAAAGUUAAUCGAGAUGUCAUCGUUAUAUAAUGGAAUGUAUUAAUGAUGUUUUUUAUUUUUAUUUUACACUUAAAUGAAUUGUUUGUUUUUUAGAAGGUAAAAAGUUUUAUGUAAGACGUUUACCAAACUCAUGAAUAUGUCAAAAGAAUAUUGUUUGUUUUUUAUAGAGAAAAUUAUAAUAAAGUUCUUAUAUAUUGACUUCAUAAUCGAUUUAGUCAUUAUAUUUUUUUUAUUCAAUUAAGUCUCAAAAACCGAUAAUCGUAUUCAACUUUAAAAUUUUACAUUUUUGGCAUAGAUUUCAAAAUUUAUUACAAAAUGGUCUAAAAUUUAUACUUUUGGCCCAUAUUUGAAAUUUUAUUACAAAUUUGGUCCAAAAUUUACCUUUUAGGCCAAAAUUUGCAAAUUUUAUUAUGAUUUCAUCCUAAUUUUAUUUUUUUAACUUUUUUUCACAAAAUUUGUUUUGAAUACGUUUUUUCUUUAUAAAAUUAUAUGUAUAGAAAAAAAAGUUCACAUAAAUAACCUUAUUUUUUCUAUAUAAAAAGUUUUUUUUUUUAAAAUGUAUACGAAAUAUCUAUUUAUAAAAAUAGGUAUUUAUUAAGUACAUAAAUAUAUACAAAUCCGUUUUUAUAAAACAAAAUUUAUACAAACAUGUAUUUUACAAAAAAAAAUAUAUACAUACAACUAUUUUAUUAUAAACACAUUUGUAUACAUNNNNNNNNNNNNNNNNNNNNNNNNNNNNNNNNNNNNNNNNNNNNNNNNNNNNNNNNNNNNNNNNNNNNNNNNNNNNNNNNNNNNNNNNNNNNNNNNNNNNNNNNNNNNNNNNNNNNNNNNNNNNNNNNNNNNNNNNNNNNNNNNNNNNNNNNNNNNNNNNNNNNNNNNNNNNNNNNNNNNNNNNNNNNNNNNNNNNNNNNNNNNNNNNNNNNNNNNNNNNNNNNNNNNNNNNNNNNNNNNNNNNNNNNNNNNNNNNNNNNNNNNNNNNNNNNNNNNNNNNNNNNNNNNNNNNNNNNNNNNNNNNNNNNNNNNNNNNNNNNNNNNNNNNNNNNNNNNNNNNNNNNNNNNNNNNNNNNNNNNNNNNNNNNNNNNNNNNNNNNNNNNNNNNNNNNNNNNNNNNNNNNNNNNNNNNNNNNNNNNNNNNNNNNNNNNNNNNNNNNNNNNNNNNNNNNNNNNNNNNNNNNNNNNNNNNNNNNNNNNNNNNNNNNNNNNNNNNNNNNNNNNNNNNNNNNNNNNNNNNNNNNNNNNNNNNNNNNNNNNNNNNNNNNNNNNNNNNNNNNNNNNNNNNNNNNNNNNNNNNNNNNNNNNNNNNNNNNNNNNNNNNNNNNNNNNNNNNNNNNNNNNNNNNNNNNNNNNNNNNNNNNNNNNNNNNNNNNNNNNNNNNNNNNNNNNNNNNNNNNNNNNNNNNNNNNNNNNNAUAUAUACAAACACGUAUUUUAUAAAAAAAUAUAUAUAUUCUAACAUGUUUUUAUAAAAAAAUGUAUACAAACACAUAUUUUAUAUACAUUUUCUUUAUAUAAACGGAUUUGUAUAUAUUUAUGUACUUAAUAAAUACUUAUUUUUAUAAAUAGGUAUUUAGUAUACAAAAAAGUUUUUAUAUAGAAAUAUAAGAUUUUUUAUGUGAAAAUAUGUUUUUUUGUAUAAAUAUGAUUUUAUACAGAAAAAACAUGUUUGAAACAAAAUUUUGAGAAAAAAAUUUGUAAAAAAAUUAAAAUUAUGAUGAAUUCAUAACAAAAUUCUAAAAUUUGGGCAAAAAGGAUAAAUUUUGGAUCAAAUUUGUAAUAAAAUUUAAGAUCUACGCCAAAAGUGUAAAAUUUGGACCAAAUUUGUAAUAAAUUUUUAAACCUAGGCCAAAAAUGUAAUUUUUGAAAGUUUGAUGACCCGUUUACCGGGUAAAAUGGUUAAAUUGAAUACAAUUAUAAGUUUUUAGGACUUAAUUGGAUAAAAAAUAUAAUGACUAAAUCGAUUAUGAAGUCAAUAUGUAAGAAUUUUAUUAUAGUUUUUCUUUUUUUAUGGUGUGCAACCUACUAAAAUACAACCGUUUUUUAAACGUACAAUAGUUCUUUUCCAAGUUAUUUUUUUCAAUAGUUAUCUACAAAUUAUAAAAUAAAUUAAAUUACAAAUUUAAAACAGUAUAAAUAAAAUCAAUCAAUUGAUUCAAAUUGUUUAAAAAAAAUUGGUUUAAAUUGUUUAUAAAAAAUGUUAUGUAUGGAAAAAUUGAUGAAACCAUCUAUGACAAAAUUCAAACAUUCAGAAGUAAUAAACACAAAAAUACUAUGCAUCAUUAGAAUUUUUAAAACAUAUGAGAACCGAGUCACUUGAACAAGAUUAUUUGUUAUUGUUUGCUAAUCUAUUGCGUAGUUAAAAAUGGUUUGUUGAUUAGAAAAAUUGGUAUGGAGUCAACUGAAUAAGAUUAUGUCAUUUUUUUAACAUAAAUUUUUUCCAAAUAACAUCUAACAACAAGUUAGAAAUAAAAAUUAAAAAAAAUAAUAAAAAAUAAAAAAUAAAAAAAAAUACUCAACAUUACAAAUCAAGGGGUAUUGUAACCACAUAGUCCAACUAAUGUUAGUUCUAACUCUCCUAACAGAAAAACAGUCAAAUGAAUGAAAAACAAUAUUUUCAAAAAUACUAUUCCUCUUCAGCUUAAACGAUUAGAACACUAUGUUAUUAUGGUAAUUCCAAAAUAUCCAAAUAGUAGUGAAAACGAUCACCUCCAAAAUCUUCAUUUCACUACAAAAAAAAAAGCCAUUUAAUGGCAUACAAAAAGUGCCACAGAAAACUUAAAAAAUACCAUUAAAGACCCUACUAAGAAUCAGCGGUACACAAAAAAAGUGUCACUAUGAGUGAUACCACUAAAGCCUUUUAGUGGCACUUUUUGAUUUGUCACUACAAACCUUUAAGGUUUUAGUGGCACUUUUUUUUUGCCACAAUAUACAAAAAAGAUUUUGUGGCACAAGUUUUGUGCCGGUAAAAACUAUUGUUAUUUAAAAUCUAUACCACAUUUAGUGGCACAUAAUUUUUGCUACAAAAACCAUAUUCUCAAUUUAAAUGUCAUUAUGGACAGUUAAGAUAUUAGCUUUGAUUAGUUAAAAUCAUUAACAUAUUAGCUUUGAUUAGUUAAAAUCAUUAGGUCUUCAGUUACUUCAUCACCUUGUUCUUCCAUACGUGCAACCUACAACAUAGUUGUUAAUAGUCUUAAAACUAAUAUCCUAAAUGAAAAAUUAUAAAAUAUUCAACAUUUUUUCAAAUUACCCUUCUCUUGAACCAAUCACUAAACUGUUGGGCAUGAAUCUUGUCGAUUUCAUAAUCUGGUAGCCGACGAGAACGGUUUUGUCCCUUGACUAUCCGUUUGUGUUCCCUUAAAAGAAAACCCAUAUUAAUAUUUUUGUGUGAAAGAUGAAUGAAUAGAAAGAGUUUUUAAUAACAUAAAAAUCAUGUAUUGUCUUACUCUCGAAAAGGUGAAACCGACUCGACAUUGAAUAGUACAUAACGAUGAGCUUGAGAAAGAGACUUCUCAUCAAUGACUGAAUUUGAAGAUCUCCUCCUUCUUUUGUGAAAAGAUAGUCCCGAAUGCAAUUUAUGCCCUAUAGCACGACCGGGGCAAAGAUUGUUGGAUUCUUCAAUGUCAUUUUGUUGACCCUCAUCAUCAUUCCUAACUGGUCUACUGAAGACGGUUUCUACUUUCGAUAUAUAUCUGGAGCAAAAAGUUAUACUUUCUUCAGCUAUAUAACCAUCAGCAAUUGAUCCUUCCAGACAAGCUCUAUUAUGAACGUAUGACUUAAGUUUACAAAGGUACCUGUAGUGCCAUAGUUACAAGUCACUGAUUAUUUAUAAGUUUUAAAUUGUUGAAAACAAUAAAUAAACUUUAUAGAAAUGUUACGUACCUUUCAAUAGGGUACAUCCAACGAAAUGCAACAGGACCUCCAAGCCUCACCUCUCUGGUUAAAUGGAUUACCAAGUGUACCAUUACAGUAAAGAAGGAAGGCGGAAAUAUUUUCUCUAAUUUGCAUAGAGUGAGAGAAACUUUAGCCUCAAUAAAAUUUAGAUCAUCAUCAGAUAAAUCCUUGUAGCAAAUGAUCCUAAAAAAAUCGCAUAAUUCAAUUAUGACCGAGCUUACAUGGUCCGGUAAAGUUCCACGUAAUGCAAUCGACAAAUACUCUUGCAUCAACACGUGACAAUCAUAACUUUUCAUCCCAAUUAGUUUGCGCUCAUUUAAAUGAACACAUCGAGAGAUAUUGCAUGAAAACUCAUCAGGUGGUUUGAUUGACUUGAGACAUUUUAAAAAUUCAGUCUUUUCAACCCGGGACAUCUGAUAGCAGGCUUUUGGUAUGAAAGUAACAUUACUUCUAGGUCGUUUCUUUGGAUGCAAUUCCUUUCUCAUACCUAAUUCUUGUAAGUCAAGCCUUGUUUUAUAGUUAUCUUUGGACUUUUUUUCUUGUCCUAAUACUGUCCCCACUAUGUUGUCUUGCACAUUUUUUUCAAUGUGCAUCGGAUCAAGAUUGUGACGUAAAAGCAAAUGUUCCCAAUAUUGCAACAUAAAAAAAAUACUUUUCUUUUUCCAUGGACCGCCAUUAACAUUGUCAACAAGAAAUUCUGUAUUUUCUAGUUUUUGUAGAAUCUCCUUUCCAGAAGAAGGAACUGGAGCGACUCUUAAUUUGUGGCGUCCAAGAAAUGAUCUAGUGUCUAAACGCCAACGAUAGUCAACUGGAAGCCACCUCCUAUGACACAUAUAACACCACUUUCUUCCAUUGGUUAGCCAUUUGGAAUCAGUAUCAAAACCACAUAUAGGACAUGCAAGUUCUCCUUUAGUGCUCCAUCCAGACAAAUUGGCAUAACCUGGAAAAUCUUACCAGAAGCAGAAGAAGAAUUAGUAGCAGGUUAUCAAACCGAAUAUUCCGGUAUAAAAUUUGGUUUAUUUUACGUUGCUUCAUAUUUAAAUCUACUAGUUUCUUCAUUAUUUGUAACAGUUCUUUACUUGGGGGGUUGGAAUCUUUCUAUUCCGUACAUAUUUGUUCCCGAGGUUUUUGAAAUUACUAAAAGGGGUAGAGUCUUUGGAACAAUAAUUGGUAUCUUUAUGCCAACAGUCCUACAUUUUGUCUCUGUGGACAGAGGAGAAAAGGGGCUCCGCGGGAAGAGGAUUGUACCGUGAGAGAAGCAAGGAGGUCAACCUCUUUCAAAUAUACAACAUGGAUUCUGGCAAUGCAAUGUAGUUGGACUCUCAUGUCGAUCCGAAUGAAUCAUCCUUUCCACGGAGGCAAAUCUUUGCCUGUUAGGUAAGAGGAUAGCAAGUUACAAACUACUCAGUAUACUUGGAAUAAUCACAUUAAUAGUUGCAUUGACAGUUAUCUUCAGUACCAAAUCUGUAUUGAUAAUUACAUUGUAAGUGGUCUGAUAUGGUAGAAAUAAGAGCAGCCUUAAACUGGAAGUGUUGUUUCGUUGAUGCAUCAAAUGUAUUAACUUCAUCCUCCCAUAACUCCUUCAACUCUUUAAUCAGAGGUUGCAUAUACACGUCUAUUUUGUUUCCAGGACUUUUUGGACCCGGAAUGAUUAAAGAAAGAAUGAAAUUUGGUUGCUUCAUAACCAACCAUGGAGGCAAGUUGUAUGGAAUAAGAAAAAUUGGCCAAAUACUGUGUGCCACAUUCAUUGUCCUAAACGGGUUGAAACCAUCACUCGACAAAGCUAGGCAAACAUUACGGGGAUCACGAGCAAAUUCUGGAAACUUUUGAUCAAAAUCUUUCCAAUUUAAUGCAUCUGCUGGGUGUCACAACUUUCCAUCUUUUACACGAUCCACAUGAUGCCACUUCAUAAAAUUAGCUGUCUUUGAUGACAUAAACAAUCUCUGAAGUCUAGGCUUUAGAGGAAACCACCGCAAUAUUUUUUAUGCCUUUUUCUUGGGAGGACUCACUUCUUGUUCUGGAUUAGCUUCAUGAACUUCCCACCUAGAAGACCCACAAAAAGAACAAACUUCAUCUUUCUCCUUGUCAUCCCAAAACAACAUGCAACCAUUAGGACAUGAAUGAAUUUUUUCAUAUCCUAAUCCCAAGUUAGCCAUUAUUAUUUUUACUUGAUGUGUUGAUUUAGGUAACACAUUUCUUUCAGGUAACAACUCCUUUAAAAACUCUAACAACAUAGAGAAAUAUUUGUUACUCCAACCACCAAGACACUUUAAAUGGUACAAAUACACCACACCUGAUAAUUUGUUGUAUUUGCAAUUCGGAUACACUUUCUCUUCAGCCUCCUUCAUAAGGUCAUCGAAUUUAUUUCUCCCAUUUCCCAUCUCUUGACUAUUAUUUAAGGCAUUCUCAUGUAUUUCCUCUCCCCUUCCACCUUCCAUCUCAAAAAUAUCAUUCAACAUUUCAUGCAUUUCAUGGUGAAAUAUGCUUUCUUCUUUGUUAUGGGUUGUGCUUGUUGAUGCAACUGUUGUGUCCUCCCCAUGAUAUACCCAUUUCAAGUAGUUUGGACAGAACCCUGAACAUAUGAGGUGAUCUAGAACAAUUUGUCUAUUCUGAUAUUCCAUGUUUAUACAGUUUGUACAUGGACACUUUAUCAUCCCCCCAUUGACACUUGUUCUCUCAAAUGCAAAAUUCAAGAAGUUUAGCACACCAUUAACAAAAGUUUGACUUGAUCUUGGUGCAAGAUACAUCCAAGAUCUGUCCAUGACUUAUAGUGAGAAACAACAGAAGAUUAACUAUAAAAAAAGAAAUGGUAUUAGUAUAAGAUGCUUCUCAAACUUUUUAUCAGGCAUGAGUAUGAGUAAUUAGGUCUCACAAUUAGGAAACAGAAAUGACAGCACUAAAAAAACCAACAAAGAAAAUAGAAUGAAUACCUGCUGAAGUAGCUAACUCCUAUGGAGGAAAAUGUAGCAGAGAAAAAUCGUAGUUGCAACAAGGAACCAAUUGACCCAGUAGGCUUGGACCAGAGAUUGAUGGUGAUACCUGUAAUCGAAUCGUUAGUAGGAAGCAGAGAUCGGUCGAAUUUUAAAAGGUGCUAGUGAACCCGAGUGAAGGUGAAACUUAACCUAAAGUUCGCCAGUAAGGUUGGUUUUGUUGAAAUUGUUUGAAGGAUGAGGAAAUCACGACUAUAACCAUUCAAAACUAUAAUUUCACANNNNNNNNNNNNNNNNNNNNNNNNNNNNNNNNNNNNNNNNNNNNNNNNNNNNNNNNNNNNNNNNNNNNNNNNNNNNNNNNNNNNNNNNNNNNNNNNNNNNNNNNNNNNNNNNNNNNNNNNNNNNNNNNNNNNNNNNNNNNNNNNNNNNNNNNNNNNNNNNGGGAUGGGGAAUUUCCCUGGCGGUCGAUUUCAACUUUUAAUGGAGGGAAACUAAAAAUUUCACCUGAUUCUGGAGGGAAAGGGGAAGCCAAGCUGAAAUUUUUACUAGAUGCACAAGAGAAGGGGAAAACGAGCCACAAAUGAAAAUGAAAGUUAGGUCUAAAUUAAUGGCACAUUAGUUCUAUUCUAAAGUACUUUACACGCAUCAUUUAAAAAGUGAAUAUAUUUUUCAUUUACAAUAAGAUAAGAUGCUUUUUUAGGUUUUAAUGACACAUUAUAUUUUUAUCCCAUGGUUAAUUCUAGGCCUCAUUUUUUAAGUUUUAAUGGCACAUAUAUUUUUUUUAUCCUAUCCUUAAUUCUAAGCCUCACUCUAUAAAUAUAUAUAUUUCAUGUAAAGAUAAAUUGAAGCAUCGUAAUAUGGGAUAUAUAUAUUUGUUUUGUUCCACUUAAUUCUAUAUAAAAGGACAUCAUUAAAACUAGUUCUCUUUUUUAUGGCACAUGCAAAGUUACAUUGAAAAGCAAAAUUAGUGGCACAAAAGAUAAAUGCCACUAAAAAUGUGUACCACUAAAUGGCUUUUUUUUUUUUUUUUGUAGUGUUUUCAUAGCGCUCGUGCUAACUGUGUCAACCCAAGACAAGAGCUCCAGCCAUACUAAUCAAACGAGGAAAUGGAAUAUCAAGCCAUUUUUCAAUUUAUAACCAUAUUUGAGCUGCCACCUCGUAAAACCGAAACACAUGAUUUGUGUUUUUUUUAAUCACAAGACGUGUAUAACAACGAAGGAAUGUCAAUACAUUUUCCCCACAAGCUCAUCUUGAUAAGGAUUAUAUUCAAUAAAAUACGCUCAGGAAGAAGACAAGCAAGCAUUAAUCCAUCCAACCCAUUUUUUAUCCAAACCCACAAACUUCAAAAUUUUCAAAAGAUACUCCCAUCCCAUGUAACCGAAUCAUACACCUUUUCUAAAUCCACGUUAAAGAUCAUCAAUUUUUUCUUUUUUCAAUUAUACCAAUCUAUCACUUCAUUUACUACAAGAGGGACAUCCAAAAUUUGGCCACCUUUUAAAAAAAGCAGAUUGUUUCAUGCUAACAACACUAUCCGAUCCCUUUAUCAAUCGAUUAGCUAAUAGUUUUGCAAUAAUUUUGUACUACACUCAUAAUAAGCUAAUUGGUCUAUAAUCUUUAAAAAAUGUAAGACUAUCUUUUUUCGGGAUCAAGGUAAUAAAAGAUUUUUUUUGGAACCGGCAAAUAUAUUAAAAUAUGGACGCUAGCAAGGUGCUAGGGCCAAAAGUACACAAUACAUAAAAGCAUACAAAAAUUAAGAACAACAUAAGAGCGAAAAACACCACUUAACCCAAUCAUCUUCAGUACCUCUAUUCUUCCUAUAUUUUCUUCACGUGAAAACCGUAGCUUUAAUAAUGUCCACAAUCUUAGCCGGUUCCGAAAUCACACCUCUGAAUAUUCGAUCAUUUCUAUCCUUCAAAAGACUCUAUAAUGUUCCAUAUACAACACAAGACAACAACUCUUUCUUUUUAGGGCAAUGCCCCCAAUUCCGAGUGAAGGCUAGCACUUCAUUUACUUCUGUAAACUGUUUGGCGGGAAGGUCACACCAAUUAAACACCAUAUUUAUAGUAUCUCUCGCCAAUGAACAAGAUGUGAGGAUGUGGUUGACCGUCUCCUCAUUGUUCCUGCACCAAUCACAGAUUAUGGAACAGAUUGGGAUGUUUCUCCUUUGUAAUGCCUUUACCGAUGGAAUCCGUCCCUGUUUGGCCUCUAUAUAAAACUCACCCCUUUUUUCGGGGCGGAAUUUAGCCACCAGGGUAAUAAAAGAUGAGUUGCAUUCAGAAUUAAUGAAAUAAUUAUCACAAAAUUUGUCGAUAAAAUUCCAAACAUCAGUUUUUAAUAGCUCUCAUAAUGCACUUGAUAAACCGGAAAGUAAAGCCAUCUUAGACCUUGACCCCGAUCACUAGCACACGACCAAACCACCUCUUUGACUUUCUCCAAAGUGAACCUCAGGAAGGAAUAACAUAUUAUUAUGUGGUUGUUUGAUUAAUGAAAUUAAUAACAUCAAGCAAUUUAAACUGACAUUGGCAACACAAGAAUUCCCCUUUUCCUAGACUUAUUUUACAUUAAUAUUUAUAUUAAUAACAUAGUUUUAUGAAUUUUGUCUCUUUAUUAAGAUGUAUUUACAUUUUGAAUAUAUAUUCGUCGAAAAUUAAAAAAAAAAUGACAUUUGAAGGCUUGAAUCAUUUAAAGAAUAAAUUGGUUCUAAUUAUAAUUAAAUUGGUUUAAUCACAAUUUUUAAUUUGAGAAUGAUAUUUUAGUAAUAUCAUAUGGAAUUUUAAAUUUUAGAUUUGUUUUUAAUAUUAAAUUGGUUUAACCCUAAUUAAAAUAUUAGUUUGGAUAAAAAUUUGAAUUUUAUAGUUUUUUUCCGGACGUAUAUGUAGUUUUAAUUUUUUUUUUCAAGGACAUAAAAAUAAUAUUUAAAGUUUGUAAAGAUAUGAAUUUUUUUUCCUUUUUUAUUUUACUAGGAAUGUGUUUGCAUAUUUGAAAAGACAUAAAUUCAUUUCCGCUCUAAGAAGAUGAGGCACAUAUCUUUUUAGGUCUUUGGUGUUCUAAAAAACAAAAAGUCUGUAUGAGAAAAUUUAUGUGCAUUCUAUACGAUUCGGCCAAAAGAGAUCAAAGAGCUCUUCUUAGAAAAAACAAACAUAAAAAUCCUCAAUUUUCUUUUUCAUUUCUAUUGUUGUAAAUCUUUAGCUGAUAAUAAGCAACAAGUACAUGGUCUAAUUUAACAUUAUUACAUGUUAAACGGCUAAAUCAAUAUAUAUAUAUAUANNNNNNNNNNNNNNNNNNNNNNNNNNNNNNNNNNNNNNNNNNNNNNNNNNNNNNNNNNNNNNNNNNNNNNNNNNNNNNNNNNNNNNNNNNNNNNNNNNNNNNNNNNNNNNNNNNNNNNNNNNNNNNNNNNNNNNNNNNNNNNNNNNNNNNNNNNNNNNNNNNNNNNNNNNNNNNNNNNNNNNNNNNNNNNNNNNNNNNNNNNNNNNNNNNNNNNNNNNNNNNNNNNNNNNNNNNNNNNNNNNNNNNNNNNNNNNNNNNNNNNNNNNNNNNNNNNNNNNNNNNNNNNNNNNNNNNNNNNNNNNNNNNNNNNNNNNNNNNNNNNNNNNNNNNNNNNNNNNNNNNNNNNNNNNNNNNNNNNNNNNNNNNNNNNNNNNNNNNNNNNNNNNNNNNNNNNNNNNNNNNNNNNNUGUGUGGGAUCAAGAGCAUACCCACAUUAUUUGAAUUUUUGAGUCCAUAACCCAAAUUAUUUUUAUUUUUAUUAUUUUAAAAUUUAUAUAUUGCACAUUAUAAAGGUACAGAUUAAUUGUUGGGAAGAAGAAUCAAUAUCUUAAUUUUUCAAUACUAUGUUUUUAAAAAUUACCGAUCAUUAUUUUAAAUUUAACAAACUUCAUUUUAAUCUUAUAUUGGAUAUCGAAUGAUUCAUAAACAACAAACACCACCAUUCUAACAGCCAAACAAAAAAAAAAACUUAUUUAGAAGUCAUCAAUGCCGAAUACGAUUCUAAACAGUGAAGAAAAGAAUAAUUUCAACAAAUAAGUUUUAUAAACUUCUAGAGAGAUUAGAUAAAGAAGCUUCGAUCUCAACAAAUAACCGAUUUCUUCAGUAAAUUCUAGCCCUAAUCGAACAAAUCACUGGUAAGUUUUAAGAAUGGCGCCACAAAAAGUACACAUAAUAGCUUUCCACGAUUUCCAGUAGAACGGAACAUAGCAGAACCUGGUGGCGGUCUUCAUAUCUGCGACACUAGCUCCGCCGCCGCACCUUGAACAAAGCCCCGCCGCAGGCUUGCAGCGCCUCACUUGCCGAGUUUGAUCCACCAAAAAGCAGAAGCACACCAUUUCGUUUCGAUUUCUCCUUUUUUUUUACUAAUUUGAAUGGAUCUCCGGUGAAAUGUCGAGAGUUAGGCUUCCGACGCCGGUGACAGUGGAGAGAUGGAAGGAUUUUGGAAGUAGUUGAGAGUUGAAUAUGUGGUGAAGAAGAUUGCUUGCGCUGUUGGGUAUAUAUAGACAGGGAUCAGAGGUCGACAAAUAUAAAUAUGUGGGCGCCUUCGUAAUUCUAUUGGUGCAAUAUUUUAAGCACAGCGUAUAACGCAUGGUUAGGUCACAAAAACCCAAAAUAUUGUUACUUCUUUACUCUAUUUUUUUUUUUUUUUUUUUUGCAAUGAUAAACUUUUUNNNGUAUAUGAGUAGUAAAUACUCCCUCCGUCCCAAAAUUAUUUUCCACGUUUGAUUUUUUAAGUCUCUUUUGUUCAACUUUGACCUUAAAUAAUUUACUUUUUGUUAUAUAAUUUUUUAUACAAUAUAUAUGAAUAGAUUGUUUUUUAAAUGUAUUUUCAUUGUUAUAAGUUUCAUCAAAAAUUAUAUAACACAAAUAAAGUUAUUUAUGGUUAAUGUUGACAUUGAAAGACUUCAAAAGUCAAAUGUGGACAAUAAUUUUGAGACGGAGUGAGUAAUAAAGAAUCAUGAUCAUGAUGUGUUUUUAACUGGUUUUACUCGUUAGGGAUAAUCUAAAUCAAUAUUUAUAAAUGAAUGGGUUGAUAUUUUUACAUCUAGAUAAAAUCAGUUUAUGAAAUACCUUGUAAUGUUUACUAAAAUGAUAAAUGCAUAGAUUUAGACUGAGAUUCUAUUUGAGUUUUCUUUUUUGUGUCAUAUUUGUUUUUAGACCACCGAAUGAAAUUCUAUUUCGGUUGCUUUGUCAAGGUGUCAUUUCUAAUAAGUGGAUCAUCUAUUAUUUGGUUGUGAUUAUGCUAAGAUGAUAUAGAAUUUGUUGUGCGGUCCUCAUUAUUGUUGUUGAUUCCUGAAAAUGUGUUGGAUUUUUUUAUGGUUCUUAAAGCUCCUGUGUCAAACAAGGUGUUGUUUUUUAGAUGCUCUUUUAUGUACUCGGCGUUGUGGCUUGUUUGGAGAGCUAGAAAUGAAGUUAUUUUCACGAACUCUACAUUGAGUUCUUUAAAGAUGCGGAUGACAUUCAAUCUUUGGUUUUUAAUUGGAUCAAACAUAGGUUUAAUUUCAAUGUUUUAGAUUGGCCUCAAUGGUAUUGUUCAUCUUUACUUCAUUGUUUCUUGUAAUUUUUUGUUGUAGCAUCUUGCUAGUUUUUUGAUGUUUUCAUNNNNNNNNNNNNNNNNNNNNNNNNNNNNNNNNNNNNNNNNNNNNNNNNNNNNNNNNNNNNNNNNNNNNNNNNNNNNNNNNNNNNNNNNNNNNNNNNNNNNNCUUUAGGACAAAAAAAAUAAAAGUUUUUAAGUCAACAUAAGUCAAAUAAAUUAAAAGUUAUUUCAGGGUUAUUAAAAUACUCAUGAUAUUUUCUAUCAUAUUGUCUAAAAAUGAUGCUACUAUUUUAAUAUUGUGUUUUGUAAUCAUAUUUGAUACUGUAUUUUAAUAACUAACAAAAAAAAAAUGAGUUUAUUAUUGCCAAAUUAUAGUUUUUUUUUUCAUAAUUUCAUAAAAACAAACUAUUUUUCUAGUAAAAUCAAACUUGAUAAACUCAAAAUUUGACUAAACGCUUUGAAGUUUGAACACUAACUCUAAGAAGUUGACUUUUGAAGGUAUGGUUUGUCAUAAAUAUGACCGAUUUACAACUUAAUUUCCAUCUGUUUCGGAUAUGAAAAGUCAACCGAUCAUGAGCAUACACGUGGCAGAAGCAUGGGUGUAUGAUUUUAGCAUUUACUUCACCAAUUUAUGUUCCUCUGUAAUAAUGGAAAGGCAGUAUGGGCCAAUUCGGCUGCUUCACCACUCCAUUCUCUCAGCCUCAUAACCCCUCCUCCAAUAAAAAACCAACACCUGUUUCUAAAAAUCUUUAGUGAUAAAUAUAAUUUAAUAUUAAAUUGCACAGUUUAAUAAAAUAUUCUCAUGUCUUCAGUAUCAAAAGUUGACUUUUUGGUUUUCCAAAAUGAUCAAAAUAUAUUUUCAUAUAAUUCAGAUAUUUUCGGGUACAACUGAUACUAUUAAGUAUUAACUAUGGAAGAGAUAAUUCAACCAACUAAUUUGCCUUAAAUGAGGCAAAUAUGUGAAAUAAACUGUAACCAAAUUCAUAACAAAAACUAAAACUUAGGGACAAAUAUGUUAAAAAUUUUUGGCUAAAUAAGAGGUAACUUGUAAACUUACUAUAGCAGUUGUAACAACUUUUACAUUAAAAUGCAAAAAAAAUAGGUUUUUUUUUGGUACAUUGAAAAUAAUUGAUUUAUUCUAUUAAAAAAAUUAUCCUUUUAGCAAUCCAACAGACUAAGUUGGUCCACACUGCUCAUCAUCAGUUCAUCAUGUAAGACAUAAAUCAGAUAUGCAUUUUAUUAAGUUUUUAUAACUCACAAAUUUAGGUUUCAUUUCCUAUAAGGUUAUAUAGUUUUUUAUGUAUAAGUCGGAAAAAAACAAUCAUAUAUUACUAACCAGAUUAAGUUAAAGUAGAAAUAUAAAAUAUAAAAAAAAUAAAAUUAAAAUUAAAAAAGACACAUUGCAUUACUCAUUUUCCUAUGAGUUCCAUGACACUCAAACAUACAAUUAUAUAAGCAUUUGUUAUCCCAAUUGUGCAAAAAAUAUAUUUAAUAAAAAAAAACUAGCUGUUAGCUGUAAAAGCCUGUUAACAGUGUCAGAAUGCUGACAUCAUAGUUGAUUUUGCUGCCUCGCGUUUCAUCUCUGCGGCUUUCCCACUGCCCCGGAAAUACAUGUAAACUUGCUGCACAUCCAGAUCAAACAUCAUGUGAAAACAACGAAAUAAAAGUAAAAAAAUAAUAAUAAAAAGUUGGUUGGUAUUUCUUGUUUUUAACAAUAAAAGAAAAAAUUUAUAUUUUAUAGGACCUGAAUCACCCAAAUGCUCAUCACUGAUUCAAGAGCAAAGAAUGCAAAUCCAAUCAAGUAAAAGAUCUGCAAGUAAAACAAGAAAAUGGGUUAUUAAAAUAAAUGUAAAAUUAUAUUAACUGAUUCUAAUUUUUUUUUAAUCAUUUUUUAAAAUGAAUAUAAAAAGUGUUGUUGAAAACUUACCCCGACAAAAGCAUUAGAAGUUAACACAUCGAGAGCUGGUAAAAUUCCACUGUAAUGUAAAAAGUAAAAACAUAAUUAAGAGCUUAAUGAAAAAUUCAUUAAUAAGGAAUUGUUGAAAGUAUAAUCCUACAUAAUAAAUGAAAAUAAUUUUGCCACAUGUCACUCUCUCAUUAACUUGGACACAUGUCAUUUUUUGGUAUUUUUGAUUAAAUGUUUUUUCCAUUUGUCAUUUCUUAUUUUUUAUCUUUUCUUAAUUAACACAUCAUAUUUACACCUCAAUUAAUAAUUACCUUAAUUCAAAAUAACCAAUAAAUUAUAAUAUUACUACUCAUAUAAUAUUUAAUAUGUUUAUGUUUCCUUUUAAAUUCAAAUUUUAAAUUUUAAAUUUCAAAUCUAAAAUUUUAUAUUUAAAUAAAUUUUUGUUUAAACUUUCAUAUUUAAUUUUUUGUUUUAUCGAACCCGUAUAACAUACGGGUCUCACACCUAGUGUUGUAAUAUAAAGGAAGAAAAGAAAAAUGUUUUAAUUAAAAAAAAUAAAAAGUAGGUUGCUAUAUCUUUAGUGAGAAAGCAUGGAACUUACGUGAGAGAUUUUCCCUUGAAAAUAAUAGGAGGGGCAACAGCAGCAAAUACACAAAAAGCAAUGUGAAACUGCAUUAAAAAAAAUAAUUUAAAUAGAUUAAUUAUGCAUGAAUAUUUUCAAAACUGCAAAAAUUAUUUUGAGAAAGAAGGUUUACCAUAUAAGCCAAGAAAAACCAUCCAAACUUUAGAGCACUAUCAGNAUAUAUAUAUAUAUAUAUAUAUAUAUAUAUAUAUAUAUAUAUAUAUCCCAAAAAGAUAAAUUCAACAUUUGCCUUUUUGGUGAAGACUAAAACUGAUGUGAAUGAGAUAAAAAUUGCAAUUUUUGUCCCAAAAAUGGUGGAUCAUGUGUGAAAAAGACGUAAAUGCCCUCCUCACUAAAAAGUGCCAACCACUCAAGUAAAUGAGGGCAAAUAUGUAAAAAGUUAAAACAUUAUGUUUCCUGGCUCUCUCACGAAUGUUGUUUAAACCUCUUUUAUUCAGGCAACACUUAAACAGGGCUUCCAAAAUCUCCUCAAUGAUCUGAGGGUUAGUUUAGUAAUUUCACAGCAUAAGGUUUAUUAUUUAUACCUUGUAGCACGAUAUAAAGGACGAUACCACAUGACAUAAGCCCCAGGAACUCCUGCUAUUAAAUAGAUAAUAGCAAGAAACCAAAUUGUUGGACCUGUAAAAAAAGGAAAUGUUGUAAUAGUAGCAAUUUAUUUAUAGCAAUAAACAAAAUGAAAAGAUGUGAAAUUACUAAACUAACCUUCCCCUUUAAUCCAGGCCAUGGUCACUGCUACAAGAUUCCAUACUAGGCACAGCACAAUACCUGUUCAAAGUAUUUUUCAAAAUCAUUAAAUAUUCAAAGUCUCAUGUCAUGUCAUGCCUCCUUCAAUUUACUUCAUCUAAAUAAUAAUCUUAAUGAAGACAUGACUUUUACAAAUUUGUCCCUUAUUUAUUCUUUUUGGGUUGAUCUCAUAAAAGACGUUAUAUUUUGUUUUUUGUUUUUCGGAUUAAACCUUAACUUUAUUUUUUUUCCUGAAAAAGACCCUGUAUUUUUUCAUUUUUUUGGAAAAAACCCUCAACUUUGUCUUUUUUUCUGAAAAAACCCUUAACCUUUUAACUGUUGCUCAAAAAAACCUCAACUUUUUUAAUUUUUUCUGAAAAAACCCUCAAAUUUUACAAGUUUUUUUUAAAAGGGUUAAUCUCAUAAAAGUCCUUAUAUUUUGUUUUUUUUCCAGAUUAAACCUCAAUUUUAUUUUUUGCCUGAAAAAGACCUUAUAUUUUUCAAAUUUUUCCAAAAAAUCCCUCAACAUUGUAGUUGUUUCCGAAAAAAAACCCUCAACCUUCUAAUGCUUCCAAAUAAACCCUCAACUUUUUUAGUUUUUCUCAAAAAAAACCCUCACAUUUUACAACUUUUUUGGAAAAAAAAAUGACUAAAAGAGCCAGAUCGGAAAAAAUAAAAACAUACAAAGUCUUUUUCAGGAAAAAAAAUAAAGUCAAGGUUUAAUCCGAAAAAAAACACAAAAUAUAAGGUUUUUUUACAAGAUUAACCCUUUAUUUUUUUUCCUUCCAUUUAUCCAAACAGCACUCAAGUAAAGAUCAUAUUCUUUAUUAUUAUAAUUAUUAUAUAUUAAGUCCUGAAUGGAUAAAAGUGUCUGUAUGUAUGAAUGAGAGCAUCAGCAAAUGACCAUUUUACCCUUGUGUCUAAACAUAUUGCUUAAUAAAAUAAAAUAAAAAAUACUUGAAGAAAGAAUACAUACCUAGAAAAGUUGAGAAUGCAACAUACUGUAUUUUUUGUAGAUGAACAGGAAUUUCAUUUGGAAUGUCAUGAUGAAUAAUAGGCAAAAAUGGAGGCCAGUUUUUUUCCUCAAGAACAAUUCCAGCUGCAAAACAUAUUAUGCUACAAAAUUACAGAAAUAAACAAAAUAAAAAAAAGAUCUUUAUAAAUUAAAAAUAUUACUUCGUGCAAUAGCAUCCUCCUUCCUCUUUAAUUCCUGCAUCAAGACAAAUAAAUGUAAACACAACAUAAAACUUUUAAAAGUACAAUGACUCUGUAAUCUGUAUUUACCCAAAAAAAAAUAAUAAUAAAUAACCAGAUAUAAUCUUAUUAGCUAAUAUAUAAAUUAUAAUAAUAGAUAUGAAUUCUCAAAAGGAUUUAAAAACAAGCACCUGUUCUCUCCUUUUCAGUUCAGCCUCUUUAGCUUUUAGUUCCUUCUCCUUACUUCUGAAAUCCUGCAUCCACCAAAAGUAAAAUAAAAAAAUCAAAAUACUCUUAUUUUAUACAUUUAUAUUACAAUCAAUUAAAAAAAUAAUAAUAAAUAAAUAAAUAAAUCUUACCUGAUCAAGAGGGAUAUUAAUGGUGGCCCCACGAUCAUAGCCAGCUGGCUCUGGUGGAAGUGGUGAUAGUCUUGAGGUUGCAGGUGGAACACUUCCAGCAGCCUAAUAAUUUCAUUAUUAAUAUAAAAAAAAAAUUAAUAAAUACAUAAUUGAAAAAAAAGAAAAAAAAGUAAAUACUGUUAUGUUUAAUGAAAAUAAGGUAUCAGGAAACUUUCCCACAGCUUCAUAUUCCAUAUGAUAAAAGAUCAAAAUAAUAACAAUAAAUAAGUGAAUGUAUAAAAAAAAAAAGCAAACAACAAACAUUUAAAAAUUUCCUAUUGAGAAAUAUAAUCAAUGUACUUUCAUUUCUUUCUAUUAUAAGAUUGUACUUUAUUGGUUUUCUUUAUUAAGAAAUAGUAGUUCCUAAUUUUUUCUUACUAGAACAUUAUACUUUAUUGUGUUAUCUUUGAUAAAUGAUGUUUAUUUUAUUUUAUUAUUAUCGAAUUCCAUCUUUUUUUUUACUAAAUUCAAAUUAAAAAUGAGUUAAGAAUCUUACUGGCAUAUAAAAUGCACCUCCAGCAUAAUUUGAUUGAGCAGAUGCACUCCCUUGAGGGCUUUGAUUCUGAAAGAAUUAUAUAAAAACAAAAAGAUACAUUAAAUGUCAUAAUCAGAAGCAGGUUUACUACAUUAAUGAACACAUCAGUUGUAUCAAAUCCUUGAACUACAUGUUUGAUAUAGUAGUUCAUAAAUUACAUAAUUUAAUGGAUUGAAAUGAAUACAAACUAUCAAAUGAACCCAAUGUACAUAAGCUUAAACGUGAAAAACAAUAGAUCGAUUUGGUAUGUUAAGGGAGAAAGAUGGAGCUAUCAUUUAUUAAGAAUCAAGAAGAAAAGUUCGCAUUACCAUGAUUGAAAUAGGUAUCCCUGUUAUGAGUGAUAUAAUUAACUUUCUAAUGAACUAUAGCUAUAAAUUAGGGGGUUUUCAAUGUGCAUCUAGAAUGCGAUUAUCUGACUAUAGUGUUUGGGUAACCCUCUCCUCUUAAUUAUUUGAUGAUUUAGGGGUCAAAUGAUCAAUUUGAUCAUAACUUUAACAAAAUCGAUCAUCAAGGGUACUGCAUUGUAACAGAAAAGCAAAUCCAACGAGACAAUUGGCAAUUUCGCAUUGAAAAAUCUAAGUAACGAUUCAGAUGAAGAACACCGACAAUCGAAUAUCCUCAAUCUCAAGUCAAAACCGCGAAGACAGGAUUAACAUAUUUAAUGACACAGAUCUGACAGCAAUUGAACAAAGAAUCCAUAAACCCAUCAUGAUACACUUCGAAUUCUCACAUCAUCCAGAAGAAGCAGAAGAAGAAAAGCAAACACAAAAACGCCCAAUUGCUGAUAAAUUAGAUAAAAGAGAUAGAUAGAUAGAUGUAUGGACAUUACCGCAAAUGGGUUGAGUUCUUCUUCCUCGAACGGAUUGGGAUCGUAACGACUACCCAUCAGACGGAAACAAGUAGAAAAUACUAGAAUUGAAUGUGUGUAGAUCUGGGAAUUUUGAGGCUGAAGAAAUAGUUGAAGAAUAUGGGGUGUUUGAAUCUUAUAGGGUAUCGAAUAUCGAUCUGGAUUCUUCGUUUGCGUAUAGAAGAAUAUGAGAACAGCAAAAGGUUUUGGCGGGGGAGGUUUACAGUGGGAUGAUAACUAUUACUUGGGAUUUCACUGUUAGCCCAAAUUCACCCCAAGCUGUUUGGUGAUCGGAUUUGUUAAAGUUAUGAAUAUUAAUUUAUUAAAGUUAUAAAUAGCUUUUUUUUGUAAUCAUAGAUGUUGCAUGAAGUUUAUAUGUAAAAUGUUUUUCUCAUAUCUUAUAAAUUUCUUUAGAAAAGAUUAAACAUAAUAAAAAAAAUUUGUCACAUUACAAAUUUGUGGAUUAAAUAAUAUCCACAUGUUAUUUUAUGGUUUUUUUCAUUUUAUAAAAUUCCAUAUAAUAUUUAAGUGUAAUAAAUGUAUAAUAAAUACAUAUCCAAUUCAUUAAUGCAACUUUCCUUAUAAUUUCUAUAAUUCUAAAUUGAAUCCAAUUAUUUUAAUUGUUUAUUUAUUUAAAUUAUUUUUAUAAAUUUAAAUGGUAAAUAAAUACUUCGUUUUUAAUAAUUAAAUAAAUUUUUUUUAUAAAUUCAAAAUUUCUAAACUUUUAGAUUUUCAUAGGUGUUUAUGUUUUUGAAUUAAUCCAUGUAUCACAUGGGUCUCACAACUAGUAUAUAUAUAGCUUAGGUUAUUUUGUUUAAAGCAAUUAUUGUGUUAUUGUAUUCAUAAAUGUGGGCCAAUCAAAUUUACUUAUUUUAAGAAAGUGAUUAAUGUAUAUUAUUGAAUUAAAUAUAAUUGAAAAAAUCAUCUUAAUUAAUUACAAGGGCAAUUUAGUCAAUUAAUAUAGAUUUAAUAAAGGAAAAUUGCAUUUUUUUUAAGGGAUCAUAGAUUCUAUUAAUUUUAAAAAUCCGAUUUUACGAAUUAUAAUUCUUUUAAUUCUAACAUUCUGGCCGAAUAUGUUUAUGAGUAUAUUCAAAAAUAAAAAUAUUCUUGAACCAUAAAUAAUUAAAAUAUUCUUGAACCUAUUUCUUUAUCGUGAAUUUAUAAACUUCUAGUAGAAUAACAAAUUCUUGAACAAUCAAUUGAAGAAUAAAAACAAAAAUUACAUUAUUUCUUAUAGAAUACGGGUAACAAUUGUCAAUAAUUAAAUCAAAAUCUAACAACGACUAAUACAUUCUAAAAGAAUAAUGUGGUCAGUUUCAACUUUGUGGUCCGUUCUUCAAACAUCAACAUUUUUGAUUCCAACAGAAUUGGAAUUCUUGAUUCCGUUUCAAUUUUGUGGUCCGUUCUUCAAGCAUCAACUUCUGUGAUUCCAACAGAAUUGGAAUUCGUCAUUCCAUUCCAACUUUUGAUAUUGCUUUGCUACAAUCCUCCUCAGCUUGUUGAAAGCUAUGAUAUAAACAUAACCAUCAUCAAUUUGUUAACAAAAUUAAUAACAAUUUUAUAUAUAAAAAUAAAUUAAAUUCAAAGUAAAAAAAACAUACCAUCCUAAUUCUAAAUACGCAGCUGCUCUGUUACAGUAAAAAGUAGCAUUGGAUUCAUCCAACUUAAUAGCUUCAGUGUAAUAGCUUACAGCUUUAUUCCAUUGUCUUCCUUUAUAUGCAGCAUUUCCCUAAAACCACAAACAAAAUUAGUUCUUUAAUGGAGUAGAAGGGUAAAAUGGUAAAAUUGUAAAAACCUUCUCCUUCAACAAUUCAGAAGCAUCCAUAUUCCCAUAAAAAUUUGGGAAGGAACUUACAACCAGAUAACUUUUCAGUUACUUUGCUAACAAUAUAUACAAUUUUCUGUUGAGGAGCUUUAGAUAACUGAAAUAAAUCAUCAACCACAACUAUGCACCUUGUUCUUCUAAGAAGAACAUGCCCAACACGAUGCAAAACAGAAGUAUCACGAGCAAAAAUUUCUGAAAGAUUUUCAUCAUCAAAAACAUGAAAUAUUAAGAAACAGCAAUAAAACUGAAGACUUCUACUGACAUAUAGUGUCACACCCCCGAACCAGACGGCGGAAACGUCUGAGGGCUAUUGUGACUCCAUUGAAUACCAUCACAAUGAAUAUACAUGAAACAUAACAUCAUUCAUCACCAUGCAUUGAAAUAUUACAACCGGUAUUGUUUACAUUUAGUAUAUUGUUUCAAAACAUUAUAUUUCCAAAACGUAAAUUGUUCGAUACUAAUUAAACAAACAACAUGACAUCACUGGGUACAUUUUUCCUUCGAUUUACCUGUUACCUGAGAAUACAAGUAUUUUGGAAAAACGUCAACAUAUGAAAUGUUGGUGAGUUCAUAAGUAAGGUUUGAAAAGAAAUGAUUUGUAUAAUUUUGAAAACCACAGAAAAUCCGAUAUUUUUUAAAAAGAAAUGUUGUAUAUAGGAAAAAGUGUGAAGAUCCGUAAGUAUGCUUGUUGAUUAUUAUGAAUGUGAAUAAUUGUUAAACUUUGUAUAUAUCACAUAGUUAAGAGCGUUGAAUUUCCCAGGAAAACCCGAUGUUUUCCCAAUACAUUAAAUUACGUAGCUGAGUUAGUGUUAUUCCGAUACGACGUUGUUUUCGAUAAUUCCAGGUGACAUUGGAUUAAUUACGGGUUGUGAGUCGUUACAAUCACGCAUUAAUGAAAAUGACUAGUUUACAACUUUACAAACGAUCCCUUAGGCGUCGUCCGUACUACUCACUUAAUCCAACCACCCUGACUUCUCAUAGCCCCACAACCGAGGAGAAAAGAGGGUACGAAGCCCCCGUUAUUUCCAUGAGUCGUUCAAGGCUAUCGUGAAUGCGAAAGGCCCUUGGCCCGACUCGCAUUUGACUUCUUGACUUUGCUAGCAGUACCAAAGGACCCUUGGGGCCCAACAGCACAAUAAAGCUAUUGAAAGUCCUUUUACACGAAACUAGGUCAUAUAAGGCCCAAUAACAUGUAAGCGCGUUCCCUUCGGGCCUAAAGAUCAUGUCAUUGGGCUAGCUAGGCCCAACAAGCACGAUUUGAAACUUUUGAGCCCAAAGAUGGUGUAUUGACUUCUNACAGCACAAUAAAGCUAUUGAAAGUCCUUUUACACGAAACUAGGUCAUAUAAGCCCCAAUAACAUGUAACCGCGUUCCCUUCGGGCCUAAAGAUCAUGUCAUUGGGCUAGCUAGGCCCAACAAGCACGAUUUGAAACUUUUGAGCCCAAAGAUGGUGUAUUGACUUCUCGCGAAUUUUCCAUGUGUGUAUUGAAGUACCAUCGUUUAUUGAUUUUUGAUUUGUUAUUGAUUCGAGACCGAAUCAAUUCGUUUGAUAACGAUUUUGGUGUUGAAGGUGUAUUUAUUAUUACGUUUCGCCGGUAGACGUAGUACUAGUAUUUUUAUCUUAAGGGAUUUUUUGUUUUAAGAAUUAGAUUUUAUCUUUUUAAUCCCUUUCUUGGAUAAAAUUUACACUUUUAACCCUUUGUGUAUAAAAGAAUUUCCAUUUUAGUCCUUAAACUAUUUUUCUUGACACUUUAGUAUCAAAACUUGUUGGAAAGACAUUUUUAGCACAAAUUUACUUGAUAAACAGCUUAAGUCCUUCAAAAAUGAAAUUUUCUCGGUUGAAACCUCCAUUUUCGCAACUUUUACAAUUUUGGCCCAAAAAGGAAAAUUUUUGCAUCUUUGGCCCCUUUUUAAUUUGAAAAGCAUUUUUGACCCUUGAAAUGAACUUGGUACACUAGAAAUCCCCUGUUUUACAGAAAUGUGCAGUUUCAGCCCCUCCAAAUCAAAAUUUUCACAAUUUGGGGCUUUAUUGGGCCGAAAAGCCCAUUUUGGCCCAUUAUGUUUAAAAUUCAUAUUUUUAACCCCUCAAAAGUGUUGAUAUUCAGAAAAUACACAUUAGAAACUGUUUAGACUCAUCUCAACCUUCAGAAUUCAUAUAUUGUCGUUUUGGGCCCUUUAGUUUUGUAUUUUUAGCAUUUUGAGCCCAAAAAUGGGUUUUAAGUCCAAAAAUGUUCAUAUUAACCAACUUGGUUAUUUUUCUAGACUUGAUUAGUGUGAAAUGGUAUAAGUUAUACUUAUUUCAUUCAUCAUAUUGUAGAUCUCGAUUUUUAGGUUCUUUUUGGCUAGUAUAAACAUCACAAUCACAUAAGAUCAUACAUAUAAGCAUAAAAAUCAUACAAGGCAUACAUAUACUCAUAGAUCUACACAUUUGUUUGUAUUAUCCCCCACAAAACUUAUAAAAACCGAAAAAGAGGGGUAUGAAGCUCAGCUUUGGGUGUGGUUUCGGUUUUUGGAAGAAAAUGAGAAGAAAAUUCGGCCUUAGCAACCUUCCUUGGAGAUCUCGAACUUAGAGGGUUUCUAAGAGAGUGAUCAUGAUUUUUACAUGGAUUAGAAGGAGAUUUUGAUAAAACAAAGAACCUAGAUCAUAGAUCCAAACUUGAUCUUACCUUAGAUGAAGAAUUUGUGGAGAUAUCUUCUUGAAAGCUCCUUAGAUCUCGAAAAUAUGGAGGAGAUAUGAGGGAGUUUUCUUGAGAGAAAAAUGAGUGAAAUGUGUGUGUGUGUGUGUGUGUGNNUGUGUGUGUGUGCUUGAAAUCGGCCGAGAGAAAGAGAGAGAGAGAGAGAGAGAGAGAGAGAGAGAAAGAGAAAAGAGUGGCUAAGCUUGGAAGUAUGUGAGUGCAUGGAUGUUUGAGUUCUCAUGCAUGGAUGUCCCAUGAAUAAUGGUGAGGUGUCACUCACAAAGUCAACUCCUCUUUCUCUUGGGCUUGGGCCGAAAAUGGGGAGGGUGAGAGGAGGUUUUUGGGCUUUUUGCCCUUAAGCCCAUGUUACAGUUAGGAUGAAUGAUUUUUGGCCCUAUAAAAAUAGAAAUGUGAUUUUUAUGCUUUAUUGGGUUAGAUUAGGUUAAUUAUGGUCCAAAAUGGUUCAUAUAAUUAAUCUAUUUCAUUCUAGGCCCAAUAUGGCCCAAAAUAUUGAAUUAAAUGGAAAUGGGUCCAAUUGGAUCCCAUUUAAGAGUUCUAAGCCCAAGGUAGUCAAAUUGGAAGCUUAUUGGUCCAUUGGGCCCAAUAAGGAAGUCCUAGUCCAUAAUGGACUUAAACAAGAACUUCUAGGGUCUCCAAUUGCUUAAUGACUACAUUGAAAUGCUUGUAUGAGGUGUUUGAUUGAAAUUAUGUUGUUAUAGAGUAUGCAUCGUACAUGCUCUCAUGUCUUUGAUUCAUAAUUUGGCUUAAGUGUUGUAGUUACAAGACAUAAAAAUUUCUAGUUGUGACAUAUAGUUUGACAAAAACCAAAAGACUACAUGAAAAAACAUAGGACAUACCAAGACUACAUACCAACAGUGCCUAAACUCUGUGAAUUAGGGAGAACCCCAAUUGUGGAUACAACUCCAUGUGAAGGCCGGAAUCCAAGAAUGCCACAAAAUGAAGUUGGGAUUCUUACUCCUCCAAUUGUAUCAGUACCUUAGAAUUUAACAAGAGACAUAUGGAAAAGUUAACAGAAGGCAUAGAAGUGAACACCGGUAUGUUCAAUCCCACCAUGUGUUGCAGAACGUAAUUUAUAAAUUCAAUUACACCAAUCAUCUUAAUCCAUUAAAUGAUGAAGAUAAAAGACAAUGUUGGUUUAAAGGAUUAAUUUAGAGACACAAACCCGAAAGGAUCUUCAGCCAGAUGAACUGAAUUGGCCAUAAUCUCAGCGACUAAUCGUGUUCUAAGUUCUCCACGAGAGUGUUCUACAUAUGCUUGAAGCACACAACAUCCACUUCUAUCUGUUGCUACUUUAUAGCACUCAUUUGCUAUCUCAGUAAAAAUCGGCUGACAAAAUUUAUGAACUCAUUUGCUAUCUCAGCAACAGACCCACCCCCUCGGUCCAGCCAAGAACCGAAGGAGCCUCCUUCCUCAAUCGCCAAUCGCCUCAUCACAGAACACACUAAGCGAAAGGGUUAGAAAUCGGGAAUGAAAAUUUGGGAUUGCACCCGUUUCUCCCACAAUCGUUCGAUUUGAUGGUAAGGGGCUGGUUUAUGAAGGGCAUAAAAUUAGGGUUAGAAAAAGUCAAUUAGGUUAAAAGUCAAUACCAUGAUUAUAGGGAUUAUUUUUGGAAGUUAUUAUUCAUAUUAAUAAAUUACCAUUAUUUAUUUAUUUAAUUAUUUAAUUUUUUAUUUAAUUUUGAUUGGCCCACAUUUAUGCAUACAAUAAUACAAUACUUACUUUAAACACUUGAACCUCUCUCUCUCUCUCUCUCUCUCUCUCNGUGUUAUUGUAUGCAUAAAUGUGGGCCAAUCAUUUUACUUAUUUUAAGAAAGUGAUUAAUACAUAUUAUUAAAUUAAAGAUAAUUGAAAAAAUAUCAUCUAAUUUCAUUCUAAGGGUAUUUUAGACAAUUGAGAUAAAUUUAAAAAAGGAAAAUUUCAUAUUUUUUAGGAUAAUUAACUCUCUUGAUUUUAAAAUUCUAAUUUUUUUAAUUACUUUAAUUUUAAUUAUAACGUAAUUUUUAUAAUUAAACCUGAUUUUAUUCUGUUAGAAUGACAUUCUGUUAGAAUCAUAUUCUCUAGGAAUUUUCGAAUACAUAUUUCUAUUAGAAUGAUAUUCUAUGAGAAUGCCAACACGGACUAAUAACAAACUUUUGGAUACAACUUCAAAAUUUUCAUUACAUUCUUAAAAAAGUAAAAAAUUUAUAUAAUAGUCUAUGACAAUGAAAUACUCACUAAUAACAAACAAAACCAUGUAUAUUAUUCGCCCUGAAUAUUCUAGCAGAAUAUAUUAUUACAUAUACUCCUAUCAUUCUAUUGUAGAUUAUUCUAUCAGAAGAAUAGCUCUUUCCUUUGUGAAGACCAAUGACAAUUGUUCAACCAUCAUCUAAUCUUCAAGCCCUUGAUCAUCAAUGAAAUUAGACAUUUUACGAAAAUAACUGCCAUGAAUCAAAUCAUGUAAUAAUAAUAUUCUCUGAGAAUGCUUUUACAUGGCAAAAAAAUACCACAAAAAUUUAGUAAAUCUGACAGAAUGAAUACCACAUGGUCGGGUCAGAUUAUUUUUCAGGAACUUCCACAAACACCUGUCAUGCAUCAUAAUAAGCUCUAUGACAAAUUUCACCAAAAUAUUGUUAAUUUGCAAAUUCUACAAGACCUGAAGUGAAAAUAACAUGAUUUGCAAGUAUGUAAGCUACCUUGCUUCUAUGAUUCAAUAGUAGGCUAGAAAACUUCAUAAUAUAUCUCAAUCAAAUCAUAUGCUACAAUCAUCUCCCCUUUCCCUAAAUACAUGUUCUAAGUGAUACAUCUUUUUUGGAUUUCUUACAUCUUUCUUCUUGCCCUAAUCACAGCCGAAACAAGACUUUCCAACACCAACUGACCAACAAACUGUAUUUUUUAGCCAUGCUUUACUUCAAGAUUUACAUUUUCAAGAGUUGGAUGUUCAAAACAGAAGAUUACACAAAUAAGAGAACCCACCAAAUAGAAGUAGUGAAUAUACUCAAAGUGAAUAAUUCUUGAAAUCCAUUUAACCUAUACCAUGUGUAUCUUUAUGAUUUUGACGAAGGAGUGAAAAUUAGAAACAUAGAAACAAAUAUGAUGACUUCUGGCAAGGAUCUGCGGGUCUGCGACAACAGAUGUUGGAGAACCAAGAAAUGGCAUACAUAAACCCAAACUGAAUAUUCGUUUAUUUCUUUUUCAGAAUACAUCGAUUUUGGUAUAAAAAUCUUCAAAAAGAACUAAAAUGAAAGAGCGACAAAGAAUUUGUAGAAAAACGUAUUAUCAUAAUCAAACCAAUUCUUUCUUACCUCCAACAAAUCCGAUUCUUUGUUAUUCUUCAUCAAUCUGAAACAGAAUAAAUAUAGUUUCCUUUAGAUAACUCUGAUUUCUCAUACGUUGAUAGGUCUAUUUUCCCCCUUCACACAUCACCAUCAGAUCAGGAAGAGGGCUUCACGGAUUCUUCCCACCUUCACUGCUUCGGCCUCGUCGAUUUCGGAGACGACCUCCUCGCAAAUCGAUCGACCAAAUGCGACCCUUUGCACUCCUUAUCGCGUUCGUGUUUCCCUCUCACUGUAUUCCAUUCGUCUGCAUUCUUCCAUCUUUGCCCGAUCUGUUAGUCAGGUGAUGAACACGGGGAAAUAAAGCCCUUCCUUUUGUUUCAGUUCAUUUUUUUAUGGAAGACAUCGAUGACGGCUGUAUAUAAGAAAAGAAAUUAGGUUAAAUUGAAUGCUAGCAUGAUUAUAAGGAUUAUUUGUGGAAGCUAUUUAUCAAAUUACUAAAAUACCCUUGUUUAUUUAUUUAAUUAUUUAAUUUUGAUUGACCCACAUUUAUGCAUACAAUAACACAAUAAUUACUUUGAAUACAUGAACCUAGCUCUCUCUCUCUCUCUCUCUCUCUAUAUAUAUAUAUAUAUAUAUAUAUAUNNNNNNNNNNNNNNNNNNNNNNNNNNNNNAUAUAUGAGACUAUAGUAGUAGAUAGAUACAAGUUACUAGGAAUUUGAUACAAGAAUAUUUAUCCUCUGAGAGAGGAUUUUGUUCUGAGAUUCGGAUUUGGGGUUUUGGGCAUUUCGUUGCAUUGCAUACAAUUGUUUUUUACUUAUUGUUGUGUAUAUAUGAGAACUUUUGAUAACGACAAUAUACUUUGGCUUAUAUUAUGUAUUUCCCCCAAAUUGAGUUUUGAUGACUUAUUUGUUUUUGAUGAAGUAUGAGCUUGUAUAUUUAUAUUACAUUUGUCAUAAUUUAAAUAAAAUUUUAUUAUACUUAUCAUCAUCUAAAAAUGGUAGGAGGAUAGAUAAGAAGAAAAAAAUGAAAGGAUAUUUAAUUUGUCAUUUAUAUAUAAUUUGGUGUUGGAGUUAUGUACAAUUGGUAUAAUGUCUAUGUAAGUUUGUACUCACUACACUCCUUGUAACCUAACUUCCCAUGUUAAUUUUUAUAGGUAAGUGGUAGUUGUUAGAAGCAUUGAAAACUAAGGUUUACGCAUGUUUAGAACACUUGUAAAAAACAAAAAACUUCCAACUUUGAUAUCUUGAUUUUACGGGACUGUAAUUCAAUGAAUAUAAAACUAAAAAUAACAAAUUUUUAGUCUAAUAUCAUGUACAAAAUUUAAACUGCAUGUUGAAAAAACCUAAUGUCAAUCCGACUUAAAACGAAUGAGUAUGCGUAUUUUAAACUUUUCAUAAAAAACGGUUCAGUUCCUAACAGGGAUUGCGGUUCUUAAACCCGGUUUACACGGACCCGAUGGACCCAAACCCGGAUUACCCGAAACUCGGAAAGUCAUUCUUUAAACCCGGAACCGGAACCAGUUCUAUAUAUUUUGGUUCUAACGGUUCCAGUUUUCUAGUUUUAAAUGUCAUCCCUAGUUAAAAGUAUUGAAGACUACAAGGUUUAAGCAUGUUUAGAACACUUAUGUUAUUGUUAAGAAUAUGUUAUCUUUAAACCAUUGUUUUGAUGCCUACAAUGCACUCUCCAUAAUUUACUAAACCAUCUUUGGAAUUAAUGGUUGGACCCGUAUUCCGUACUCGCUUUGAAAUUUUAUGAACUAUUGAUGUUUCCUAUUUUCCACAAAUUAAAACUAAAAAAUAUUUCAUAAAAAUUAUUUAAAUAGUUCAUGCUAUAAAAUGCUUGUCUAUGACCAACAUAAUAAAAGGGGAAAGUACAAAAUAACCACCAAAGAAAAUGAAAUUUGAAUAAUCACAAACAAUACAUUGUCAAUAUAUGAAAUUCAACAAUUACAUUUGAAUAAUCAAAUGGGAGUUGUAAAUUUACCAUUUUGACCAUAAGAAUUGGGAUAUAACCAAACCAACCACCAAAUGCCAAAAUGGUUGUUCAAUCUUGAAACAAAAUAACCAUCAAAUUUGGCUUUGUCCUAUAGACAUAUUUCAUAUUCCCCUUUUGUACAAGAAUAGACUGUGUUAGCCUAGCCAUGUGCAUUCAAAAUUUCACAAGAAUUAUAAUCUUGGCACAUUGACCUUGACUUUGACUUUGACUUUGACUUCUCAUCACAAGCUAUUCCUAAUAUUAUUAUUAUUAUUAUCAUUAACAAUCAAUCCCCAUCUGAUCUAUUAGAAGACUCUCUCCUGAUCAUAUUUAUCAGAUCCUGCACCACUUCUGACAUCGGUGGCCUAAACUCCGGCUCCGCCUGCAGAUAUAAUAAAAUCAUUUUCCAUGUCAGCAAUUUUUAUCAAGUGGCAUCUGCCACGUCAGCAACUUACAAGUAACACCAUUUUUAAUUGCUAGUAACAACAUUUUGUUUCUAAAAACCUAAAUUACUCUAAAUUUAACCUAGUACUUUUCAAAUUCAAAUAUGAAAAAAAAAAAAAAAUCUUUUAUUUUUAAUAUCCAACAAGAUUAAAUUUAUCAAAUUUUCUAUGCAAAAAAAGAGAAAGCAUUUUGGAGUUAUAAGGAUAAAAUAUCAAAGAAAUAGUUGGGAAAUAUACAAAAAAAAAAAGGUACUUUCAGAGUUUUAUCAAUUUAUCCAGGGUUAAUCUCAAAAAAGACCUUAUAUUUUGUGUUUUUUCCGGAUUAAACCUCAAAUUUAUUUUUUGCCUAAAAAAGACAUUGUAUUUUUUCCUUUUUUCCAAUAAAGCCCUCAACUUUGUAUUUUUUUUUCCGAAAAAAACCCUCAACUUUUUUAGUUUUUCUCGAAAAAACCUUCACAUUUUACAAUUGUUUUUGGGAAAAAAAUGACUAAAAGGGCCAGAUCGGAAAAAAUACAAGGUCUUUUUCAGGCGAAAAACAAAUCUGAGGUUUAAUCCUGAAAAAAAAACCCACAAAAUAUAAGGUCUUUUUUAGAUUAACCCAUUUAUCUACUUUAACCAUUUUCCCAAAUAAUUAAACUAUUUUUCUCAGUUACUUGAUUUACCUAUUCAACCAAUACUUUUUUUUUAUAAUUAUUAUCACACAACAAUAUCAACAAAACGGUGAAAGUACUUAUUUAUUUUUUUUAUAAAUUUUCCGUAUAUGUUUUUUUAUCGGUUAAAAAAAUUAUAAUGGUUUAAUUAAUCACUAUAGAAAAUAAAGUACAUUCCCUUAAUUAAGAAGAAAUGUUUUAUAAUAACAAACCUGAACACAACGUGAUAUAAUAUCUGCAAAAUGUGAUAAUGAUUUUGGUGGAUAUUGACCAUUGAGAGAAGGGUCAACCAUUCUUGACAAUGCAUCAAUAUCAUGAAGUUGACCCACUGCCCAUCUCACCAACAACUGCUCCCCACGAGGUCGCGCACUAUAAACAAAACAAAAAAAAAAAAAAGAAAAUGAAAUAGCAAAGUACUUUCAUGUUUUUGUUUAUUAUAUUUAUAGCAUUUUUACUAUAANUAAAUGAAAUAGCAACGUACUUUCAUGUUUUUGUUUAUUAUAUUUAUAGCAUUUUUACUAUAACACAUCAAAUAAAUGAAAGUAUGAUGCUAUUACAACAUUGCACUUACAAUUUCUUUUUCCUAUUAAGACAUUGUACUUUGAAGAAUCUACUUGAUUACACUAGUGAAAAUAGCUUUAUAUUUGAAUGACAUUGCUAUAAUUGGGUAUUAUUAUACUAUUAUAUAACAGCAUGAUACUUUCAAUUAUUUAACGAAAAAAAAAUGUAGGUUGAUAUUUCUUGCAUUUAACCCAAUCUAAAUGCAAGAUAUAGCAACCUACUUUCAUUUUUUUUCCAUUACUCAAUUUGACUUCCAAUUUUUUUUCUUAUCAACAUAUUAUUCUUCAAAAUAUCUACCUAAUUAAAGCAUUGUACUUUGAAUUUCUUUCUUGUUAGGAUGCUAUAAAUUAUAAUAAAUAAUUAAAUACAACAUUUAACAUUUAAAUUAUAUUAUUUACCUUUGGUAAGAUUUUCUGCCUGUUAAAAGUUCUAACAUCACCACCCCAAAACUGUACACAUCACUCAUAGAUGUAUAGAUUCCUGACUCGAAUUCAGGGGCACCAUAACUGAAGGCUGAUUGAAUGUUUCCUGACAACUGUAAGUGGAUAAAAACAUAAUUUUUUUAUUUAUAUUAUUAUUAUUAAAAUAUUAAAUAAUAAUAGUUAUUAUUACCUGAUUAACUGAGCCUGGGGUUAUUAAAGGAGCCAAACCACAAUCAGAGACACGUACAGAAAGAUCAUCAUCUAGAAGAACAUUGGCUGACUUGAAGUUUCUAUGAAUGACAGGUGGAUCACAGAACUCGUGUAGAUACCUACACCAUUAUUUAAAAAUAAAAAUUAUUUUUCUAGAUAAAUAAAUACAUAAGAAUGAAGUAAUCUAGAAAACUUUUUAUCUAGUUGUCUAGUAUUUACUUUCACUAUUUUAUGAGUUUAGCCACUUCAUUAUUUGGAAAACCAUUUAUCAUGGUUUCUAGUUUUGAUAAAAGGUAAAAUACAAUCGCCAUUUUUCGGGUUAAUCUCAAAGAAGACGUUAUAUGUUGUGUUUUUUUUUCCGGAUUAAACCUCGAAGUUUAUUUUUCUGCCUGAAAAAGACCUUGUAUUUUUUUCAUUUUUUCCGAUCUGGCCCUUCUAGUCAUUUUUUUUUCCAAAAACAAUUGUAAAAUGCGAGGGUUUUUUCGAGAAAAACUGAAAAAGUUGAGGGGUUUUUUUCGGAAAAAAGUACAAAGUUGAGGGCUUUUCCAGAAAAAAUGAAAAAAUAAAAGUUAAAAAAUAUAUUUGAGGUUUAACACGGAAAAAACAUAAAAUAUAAGGUCUUUUUGGAGAUUAAACCCCAUUUUUAUUGAUUUAGCUGCCGAACUGUUUUUUUAUUUUAUGAUUAUUAUGAUAAUAGUUUUAGGGCUAAAUCGAAAAAAAAAAAUAACAAUAAUAAUAAAUAAAAAAUAGUUCAAUGAGUAAACCAACGAAAUGGUGAAAAUAUGGAAAAAUGGUUCUUUUAUAAGGUCAAAAAAAGUGUAAUAUUUUUAAUCAAUAAAAAAAUAUGGAAGUGUCCAAAUCCAGAAAAUGGUGAAUGUACGUUUUCACCCCCAAAAUAUUGACACAUAUAAAAUACAUAUGUAUUCAUUGUUCAAUGAAUCAAUAUAUAAAAUAAUAAAUAGUCAAGCAGCUAAAUUUUUAAAAAUUGAUGAAAUUGUUAAAAUUGUGUAUUUGACUUACUCUAAGGCUCUAGCAGCUCCAAGUGCCAUUCGAAUGCGUGUUUUCCAUGAAAAUUUUCUUUUGUAAUCAUCAUCAGAGUGUAGAGCAUCUUGAAGGGUCCCACUACUACAAUAUUCAUAAAUUAAUAGCCUUUGACCAUGCUCUGAACAAUACCCCAUCAGUUCAACAACAUUUGCAUGACGAAUUUUGUCUAUAUUAUUAACAAGCUCAAUGAAAUCCUCCUCUUUUUGCUGAUUGAUAACCUUUUUGUCCAAUUUCUUCACAGCAAGAAACUAAACAAAACAUUUUCAAAAGUAGUACAUAAGAAUAAGAUGUUGAGAUUUUAGAAGAUAAGGUUAAAUGUAUGAAAUAGUAAUGUAGUUUUGUUUCUUUUUAUUACAAGAUUUGUAGUUUGAAAAAAAAAUACCUACUCAUAAGUUCAUAACAACUGUAUACAAAUACAAAAAAAAUUGGAAGACUAGAUUUGAUUGGAAGUAUGAUAUGCUAUAAAAGUGAUUUUUUUUUGGAACACAGCUUGAAAGUGAUUUUUUAAGCAAAUAGUUCUCAUUUGUAAUGAGAAAUAGGCAACACACAUCUUGAAACUUUCUAUAAAGGGUUAAAUGUGGGGUUAAUCUCAUAAACGACUUUAUAUUUUGUGUUUUUUUCUGGAUUAAACCUCAAAUUUAUUUUUUUUGCCUAAUAAAGACCUUGUAUUUUUUCAUUUUUUCCAAAAGAGUCCUUAACUUUGUAUUUUUUUUUCCGAAAUAGCCCCUCAACCUUCUAAAUGCUUCCAAAUAAACCCUCAACUUUGUUAUUUUUCUCAAAAAAAAACCCUCACAUUUUAUAAUUUUUUUUGGAAAAAAAUGACUAAAAGGGUCAGAUCAGAAAAAAUGAAAAAAAAAAAAUACAAGGUCUUUUUCAGGCAAAAAAUAAAUUUGAGGUAUAAUCUGGAAAAAAACACAAAAUAUAAGGUCUUUUAUGAGAUUAACCCUUAAAUGCGCAUUUAACAAAGUUUCGCUUUUUCUUCCCCAAUUUAUGCACAAAAUGACUUUUUAUACAAAAUAUUUCAUUUUAGGACCAAAAGAUGUAAAUAUUUUACCAAUUGAAACACGGUUGCAUAAUCCAUGUCAGUUUUGUAAGUUUCUAAAACAAGAAACAUAUUUGCAUAAACUGAUAAAAACUAAAAAGAAAAGUCAAACAUUGUGUGUGUGUGUGUGUGUAUAUAUANUAAUGAUUGAAUAUAUUAUAUAUAUGUAGAAUGUAGAAUUGAUACCUUUCCAUCAGGAAGCUGUGCCCUAUAAACACUCCCCAACAUUCCUCCACCAAUAAGAUUAUCCUGAGAAAAACUGUUUGUGUAUUGCUGAAGAGAUGCAAUUGUGUAAGAUCUCACAUAUGUUUGAGGCACAACAGGUUUGGUGGAAGUUCUUGCUGAUGUGGCGACAGCAGCCACCGCUAUAGGCUCGACAAUAACCUUCUCGAAAGGUAGAUGAAUUGGUUCUGAUGAUGAAACUGGCGGUGGUGGAGGUGGUGGUGGUGGAGGCGGUGGAGGUGGUGGAGGUCGCAUGGAGUCUAUAUCAAAUCUGGUGAAAUCUAUCUCCUGACUGUCUUGCUUUGGUAACGCGGUGAAUCUUUGCAUGGGGACUGUUCUACGUGGUGGUGGUGGUGGUGGUGAAAGCAGUUGUUGUUGCUCCUCCUUUGGUGGUGGAACUGCCGCCUUCUUUGGGGGUGCUGAAAGAACAAGUAAGAAUAAUAUUAUUAAAGGUUAAAUUUCAAGAAUUAGUAAC